rnacentral:lncRNA from 1 species
CCUUUAUACUCUUGGGAAAGUACUUAGAAGUUCUGGCUAAAGGGAAGACAUCUGAUGCUUUGGCGAAGCUGACAGACCUUGCUCCUGAUACGGCUUUUCUGUUGUCAUUAGAUGACGAUGACAAUGUUAUCUCAGAGAUCGAAAUCAGCACUCAACUUAUUCAAAAAAAUGAUAUACUUAAGGUUGCUCCGGGGGCAAAAGUUCCUGUUGAUGGGAUUGUAGUUCGUGGUCACAGCUAUGUGAAUGAGAGUAUGAUCACAGGAGAGGCAACACCCAUUUCUAAAAAACUUGGUGACAAGGUAGUACAUCUUUGACUCUUACUUCUUGGUUCUGUAGCAUCUAAAGAAAAAUUCUAAGUCCAUUUUUCUUUUGUUUUCAUGCAUAGGUAAUUGGUGGCACUAUGAAUGAGAAUGGAUGCUUACUGGUGAAGGCAACUCAUGUUGGUUCGGAGACUGCACUUUCCCAAAUAGUUCAACUUGUUGAAGCUGCACAGCUUGCCAGAGCACCUGUUCAGAAACUAGCUGACCAGAUUUCAAAGUUUUUUGUUCCAACAGUGAGUUUUUUUGUUUAAUCCUCAAACUUUCCAUGUUGCAUUACCGCUUCGUAUAAGAUAAAUUACUGAGUACUUUGUUUAGCUAUAUUUACCUGCUUUUCAAAAAUUUGUAAUUUCAUCGGGUGAAGUUUUAUUUGCUUUUUUCCCAUCAUACGUUUACCAAAAAGCAAAUUAAAACUGAAAAUUGGAUAUGGACAAGUAUUCAAGGCACUUAGCUGCAUCUGACUGUCAGCAGGAGAUGCUUUUUCUUAAUGAAAAUGCCGUUAUUAAUUUAAAAGAUCAGUAGCCUAUAUUCUAGGUGUUGCUUUUAUUCUUAUUGUCUUUUAAGGUUUCUCGUUAUUUCAUUUCCCUUAAAUGUCUUUGGCUUCUGUCCUUUUCUUUUGCCCAGUUUUCUGCUUUUGAGCUUUUUAUCCAAUAACUUUCGAGUUUUUUUUUUCUGCCUCAAAAAUCAUAUUUUGUUUAAAGUUGAAUUUUGUUGCUUGACAAAUUGGGUAAUUGGUAGCUGGAGGCAAAGUACAUCACGUAUUAUGACAAUUUUUCAAUUGCAUGAUUGAUUCUUUUUUCUUUCCUACAUCAGGUUGUUAUUGUAGCAUUUUUGACAUGGCUUGGAUGGUUCAUCCCUGGAGAAUUUGGUCUUUUCCCGGAAAACUGGAUACCAAAAGGCAUGGAUAAAUUUGAGCUGGCAUUACAAUUCGGUAUCUCAGUAUUAGUAGUUGCUUGCCCUUGUGCCUUGGGACUAGCAACCCCUACAGCAGUAAUGGUUGCAACAGGGAAGGGUGCUUCGCAAGGUGUUCUUAUCAAGGGUGGAAAUGCACUCGAAAAGGCUCAUAAGGUAAGACCACCUUAUCCUGGGAAACAAAUUGCUUUUCAAUUCAGAAUCUGGGUUUUCAACUUUUCAUGCAUUUGAUUUUCAUGUUUUUUUGCUGGUGUAGCUUCAUUAUCAAAAACCUGUUUGUUUUGGUAUUAGGAAAAGACAAUUACUGAUUAGAUACUAUCUAUAUGUCUGAGGGUGCAAGUGUAGUCUGUUUUCUCGUCUUUCCUUCGUUAUGAAGUUGCUCUCCUCGUAUUGGUCUGGUCAUUUUGUAGUAUGACCUAUGCUACCAACAUAGUUUAUGUUGAUGUUCCAUAAUAUAACAAGUUAUGCACUUCAUUUCUGACCAGUGAAACGCUCUGCCUCCGUUCUGUCAACGUUUAGGCUCUUGACAUAAAACUAAAUGCAAUCUAUGUCAUUGGGUAUGAAGGAUGUUCUUUCUGUAUGUAUUGGGAUUGAACAUGCAACUAUCAUUUCAUAGUUGGAAUCUGUCUCAUAUGAUUCUUUGGUUCUGGACGAUUGGUGGCUGUAUGCACCUUGUCCAUGUCAGCAAGCCAUACUUGCCAGGUUUUAGAUCCCCGUUUCUUGUAGAUAACAGCUCUCACUAAGGGAGAGUUCUCCCCAACUCCUUUUCUGAUAACAAGGCUAAUAAUUGUUUCGUUCUUUUUGUUUUUUUUCCCUUUCUAAAAUUAAAAGUUGAACAAAUGGUACCUAAGUCAUGAAGGUUGAUACGUUUGUUACCAUUUGACACUUUAUUGAUGUCUGGACGUUUACUGACAUGCGUUUGAUCCCUGCAGGUGAAAACAGUUGUCUUUGAUAAAACUGGGACUCUGACAGUUGGGAAACCCGUGGUAGUCAAUGCAGUGCUCUUCUCCAGUUACUCAAUGGAGGAGUUCUGUGCUGUCUAUUGCCACAGAGGUUGGUGCUUAUAUUUCAAAUUUGUACAUUAAAAGCUUCAUUUGCCUAGUUGCAUUUAAAAUAUUAGUGUUUGUAGAGUAGUUAGGAUGAAAUAAGUCACUGUAUAUGCUAUUGUAAAAUUGUUUUGUCAAUCAAUCUAACAUUCCUCUAUCUGAGAAAUAUGUAGGCAAAUAGUGAACACCCAAUAGCGAAAUCGGUGGUGGAGCAUGCUAAGAGGCUGCUAAAGACGUUUGGAUCAACUGAACAUGUAAUGGAGGCUAAGGAUUUUGAGGUGCACACAGGAGCUGGCGUUAGUGGAAGAGUUGGUGAAAAAAUGGUUUUGGUUGGGAACAAGAGACUCAUGCGGCAUAAUAAUGUCCAGGUUGGUCCUGAGGUUGAGAAAUAUGUUUCGGAACAUGAGAAUCUGGCUCGAACAUGUGUGUUGGUUGCCAUUGAUGGAAAGAUUGCGGGGUCUUUUGCUGUAACUGAUCCAGUGAAGCCAGAGGCUGCGCGGGUCAUCUCUUAUCUUCACUCGAUGAACAUUACCAGCAUCAUGGUUACUGGUGAUAACUGGGCUACAGCAGCAGCCAUCGCAAAGGAGGUUGGCAUUAAUAAGGUGUAUGCUGAGACGGAUCCACUGGGAAAAGCUGAUAGAAUCAAAGAAUUGCAGGUUCGAUUAUGAAAUAGUUACGAGGGUGGUGUGAAUAAAUUACAAUACCCAGCUACACACGCUGUUUUAUUUUUUGAUGCAGAUUCAAAUGACUUAUCUAAAUUAAACUGAUGUUUUAAAGAAAAUUUCAAACAUUAUUUCUAUAUUAAGUUUGUUUAGCCAUUUCUAACAGUUAACUGAAAUUGGCUGCAGAUGAAAGGAAUGGCGGUGGCAAUGGUGGGAGAUGGAAUCAAUGACUCUCCAGCUUUGGUUGCAGCAGAUGUUGGCAUGGCAAUUGGUGCUGGCACCGACGUAGCUAUAGAAGCCGCUGAUAUAGUUCUGAUGAAGAGCAACUUGGAAGAUGUAGUUACAGCCAUAGAUCUCUCCAGAAAAACUAUGUCACGAAUUCGAUUGAAUUAUGUCUGGGCCCUGGGCUACAAUAUCCUCGGCAUGCCAGUCGCAGCUGGAGUCUUGUUCCCUUUCACUGGAAUUCGACUACCACCAUGGCUUGCCGGUGCAUGUAUGGCUGCUUCAUCUCUCAGCGUGGUAUGUUCUUCUCUCUUGUUGCAGUCAUAUAAGAAGCCCUUGCAUAUUCAGAGCGUCUCGAACGGCAAGUUUGCGUGACGGUGUACGUACGUCUGACUAGUUUUCAACCUCUGGUUGUUGCUUCCAUUCUUCGUUAUUGCAGCAAUGAAUUUGUACAUGCGAUCGUGAUUAAUAAUUAUCCGUAGAAAGUUCAACUAGAACUUUCAACUAGAACUUGGUUGUAUGUAAACGCUGUAAUAAACGCCGAUUUAGUCCCCGAAUUAUUCAAAGUAAAAAUUAGGUUGACUAUUUUUCUUAAACACUUUAAAAGCUGUUAAUUUCAUCUUUACUUUUAUAUUCGAGGCAAUUAUAUUAUUAUUUAUUUGUCAAUUUAAGACAUACACAAGACACCCUUUAGAGGAAAUAUUGUCAUUUUCUCAUUCAUAAGCUCUUAACAUUACCUCUAGGUUGCGGAUCUAACUGCCAAUUUGCUACUUAGUACUACAGUCUAGUUCCCUGAAUAAAUUGCUGUUUUAGUCCCCAAAUUAUUCAAAGUAAAAAUUAGGUCGUUAAACUAUUUUUCUUAAACACUUUAAAAGCUGCCAAUUUCAUCUCUACUUUUAUAUCCGAAGCAAUUAUAUUACUUUUUUGUCAAUUUAAGUCGUACACAGACAUCCUUUAGAGAAAAUAUCGUCAUUUUCUCACCGAUAAGCUCUUAACAUUACCUCUAGGUUGUGGAUCUAAUUGUCAAUUUGCUACUUAGUACUAUGAUCUAGUGUUAUUCCUAUUCCCUUAUAAAUGAGAGGCAUGAAGAUUCAAUUCUCGCUAAAGGUGAAUUUGAACCACAUUAUUGAUAGUUAUUGUUCACAAAAAAAAAAAAAAGAAGAAGAAGAAUAAAGAGUCAAUUUACCCUCCAAAUGUAACUUCAUACAUUAUUUUUUAGAAAAAUCCUUAAACUCAUUGAAACUGACAAAUCUAUCCCCUAAAGUGUACCAUGUGCAAUUCACAUGACUUAAAUUGAAAGAAAAUUAAAAAGAAUAGCUUUGAAUCUAAAAGUUUAGACGAGCCACUUAGUACUACGGUCUAAUAGUAUUCAUUUUUCACUUGUAAGUGAGAGAUCUUAGGUUCUUUUCUCACCAAAGAUGAAUUUGAACCACAUUAUUGCUUGCCCAUUGUGAGUAUAAGCCCACCCCCUCCCCCUCGUGUAGAUAUUUAGGGACUUAAUUUUCGCACGUUCAGGGAUUAAAUCAACAUAUUCCUCUUAAUUUUAAUUAUACUCUAUUUUUAAGGAGGGUGGAGUGUGGGUUAGCUAAGUCAGCCAUAAUAAUUAGGUAUCAAAUUUGUCAUUCAAGUGAGUCAAACUUAAAUCAUCCUACCUAUAGGUGGAAAGUAAAGCCACUAGACUGUAAUAAACUUUUUCGUGGAUUACUUAGUUCAAUACAAUUCCCAGAAAGAAAAAACAAGAGAUAUUUUAACCUAUUUUUUUUUUGGGAACUUUAACGAAAAGCACCCGGUACUGUUCACUUUAACGAAAAACCACAUUUUUACACUAAAAAGUCAAUCCUGUUACUAUUCACUUUACACUUUAUUUUGUCCUUAUCAUUAAAACUCAAAGUUUUCAAGCCCUUUUCAUUAAUUUUCUUUUUUUUUUAGUAGAAUUUGUAGAAGUAGGAUGAUUGAAGUGUACAAGUAAAAAGGCCAAUUUUGACCUACAAGAAGAUCGAAAAAUACAAGAUUGUAUAAAAAAAAAUUAUGUGCAAAAUAUGGAAAGGGGUUACAUCACCAAGGUGCUAUUAGCUCCUCAUCACUGACACUUUAGUAUGCUUUCGUGUUUAUAUUAACUUACUGGCCAUUUGAUAACAAUUUAGUUUGGGAUGUGAUAUCCACACAUUAUUUUUUACUUCACACACAACUCUUUAAUUUUGGCCGUCCGAUCGGAUGAAUUAAAAAAGAUCAAAUAACAAAAAUUAACAGAUGUGUGUGAGAAGUAAAAAUUUCGGUUUUUUUUUCACUUUUUAUUAAAUUUGAAAAUUGAAACCAUGUUUGGUAGCUACAUUUUUGAGUUUCCAAAAUUUAGCCUUUAGUUUUUUGUUUUCAUUUUUUUUUUUAAAUGAAAGCAGUUGCAAAACAAGUUUUCAUGUUUUCUAAAAUGAAACUGAAAAAAUAAAAAUAAAAAUAAAACUAAAUAGUUGUCAAACGACCCUUCAGUUACCAAGAAUAUAAGAAAUUUUAGUAGAGUUUGUGAGUGCAUUGCAGAGAUCACAAUUCUACGUUCUUUGUUUUGAUGGAGUGUGUGAACUGAAGACCACAACUCCACAUUUGCGCGUCUUGUGAACAAAAUGGAUAGAACUCGUCCGCUAGCAGCACAUGUUACCAAUACCACCACCACAAGACAAAACAUCAUGACCGCUGAUUUCUCACUUGCAACUGGGUUGGCGUUACUUACGGCGUACAGCGCCUGAAAGUCGUGCCCUUGAAUCCUUCUUACAUCGGUCUCACUGGUGUCAUCAUUCCUCCUCACCUAGGGUUUCUAACAUGUAGCAUACCCAGAGAAAUAGGCAACUUAACAAUGGUGAAGGGGAUAUACCUUGACUACAACAAUUUCGAAGGCAUACUAUAUGACUUAGGUUUUGUUGCUUAUAUAUACGAGCCUCUUCUUAGUAGGGAUCUUGUUUUACUUUAACAAAAUUGAGAUGAGAGGAUUAUUGUAGGGAUCGUAUACUUACCGUGAAAGACGCUCGUAUUCUAGAGAAAAAAGAAGGCCCUAAAUGGUGAGUACAUGGUCCUUAUAAUGUUAUUCCAUUUUUGCCACAGUUCAAUGGCAUUCGUACUAAGAAGCUUCUCCUAUAUAUAUAUAUAUAUAUACAUGAUUUUAACAAUAUAUAUACAUACGGGUUCAUUUUAUAGAACUUCCGAACGAGAUGGGCAGUUUAGAUCAGCUGGAAGAGUUGUUUGUGCAACAUGAGUGGCAGUCUUCCAGACAAAAUAUGUGAGCAUCUUUCAAGUAUUCGAUUAUUUCAUUGACUUGAAACCAACUUGACCAUCUGAUUCCCUCCAAACUGUGGCAAUGCAAAAAGCUUCGUCAAUUCUCAUUAGGGCUUUCGUUUUUAUUUUUUAGUUCUAUUGAAGUUACAAAGUUAAUGCAAACGCGCUGAAAUUGCGACAGGUACAAUACUGGAUGAGAUUAGUGAUCUUCCAAAGAGACUUUGGUAUUGGAGUGUAAUAAUCUCAAUGGCGUCAUCCCAUCCAAACUCUUCAACAACUCCUUGAUAAGAGAAGUAAGGCUUUCUUUUAAUCAGCUCUUAGUCUCAGGUAGCCUCCCUGCAAACAUAGGUCUUAGGGUUCCAAACCUAGAACUCCCUUAUGUAGCCAGAAAUAACCUCGUGGCCAGAGUACUCCCUAACCUCUCCAAUGCUUCCAAGCUCACGGAGCUGGACAUUGUGAUGUAAAACCAAGCAAUAUACUACUAGAUGAUGAUAUGGUUGCACAUGCUGCUGAUUUUGCCAUUGCAAGACCCAUUGGCGAUGGAGAUUCGAUGACGGAAACCAUGACCCUAGCCACGAUUGGGUAUAUGGCUCCAGGUGAUGUAGUUUUAAAAUUUUCAUAUGCUCUUAAUUAUGACUUCUAAUUUUCUUUUUAUCAUAUAUAACUAUGUUCACAUACGAAUUUUGCAGAGUUUGGGAUGGAAGGAAUUGUUUUGACGAUAGGGGAUGCGUACAAUUUUGGUAUUGUACAGAUGGAGACAUUGUGAACACGGAAAAUUCCUGAAACGAAAGAGACAAGAACAACAUGCACAAAAUAAUAUUUGUGUUUGAUGAUUUUGAGUUACAAUCUCUCUCAAAUUUGAUCCUCUGAUUCGAUCUCCGUAAGGUGUUGAUUUGUGGAUGUUUCGUUGAUCCAAGGGCCGUCGAGGCUUGAUCUUGGAUGAACUGUUGGAAGUUUCUUCAAGGGGUCGUGGGCUUGAUCUUUGAAGGUGGAUUUGAGCGGAUCUUCAAGGAGCCGUUGGGGCUUGAUCUUGAGGAUGAGUGUUUCUUCAAGGGCCGUUUAAGGUUUGACCUUGAAUAACGGUGAUGAACGGAUCUUCAAGGGCUUUUGGGCUUGAUCUUGAAGAACGGUUGGAUGUGUGGAUUUGUUGAUGUUUGUUGAUCCAAAGGCCGUCGGGGCUUGAUCCUGGAUGAACGGAUGAUGAACGAUGGUGCUUUCUUCAAGGGCCGUCGGGGCUUGAUCUUGAAUUGGUGGAAGUUCUUCAAGGGCAUUUGGGGCUUGAUCUUGAAUUGGUGAUUGUUGAUCCAAGGGCCGUCGGGGCUUGAUCUUAGGAUGAACAGUUGUGUGGAUUUGUUGAACACUUUCUUCAAGGGCCGUCGAGGCUUGAUCUUGAAUUAGUGGAAGUUCUUCAAGGGCCGUUGGGGCUUGAUCUUGAAGGAGGAUUUGACGAAGAACGAAGAGGGCUUUCUUGAUCCUUCGGGAUUUGCUUGAAUUUGGGAGGUUGGAUGCUUGAAAGCUUUAGAGUUUCAAAGCUUCAAGGAUUUUGGAUGUGUGGGGAGUAUUCUCUUCCAUUUUGGGAGUAGAGAAAUGUAUUUGUGAAUUGGUUUCCCUUCAUUCUUUGAUGGAGGAGCCUAUUUAUAGGCUUUGGGAACGAAUCACCACCAUCCAUUUGUUUUGGUGGAUGUUGUAGGUGAAUUUUGGUGGAUGUUGUAGGUGAAACUUGGUGGAUGUUUGUAGGUGAAACUUGGUGGAUGUUGUAGGUGAACUUAGUGUAUGAUGUAGGUGAAGUGAAUGAAGGUUGUAAUUUUAAUACAAUGGUCAACAUUUAUUUCACCAAAAUUUCAAUGUUUACAAAUGUAAUCUUAAUGCAAUGGCUAACAUUUAUGCCACCGAAAUUUCAAUGUCUACAAAUGCCCCCACUUCAAGGCGCGUUGUAUACAUGUGCUUGUUACAUGUAGGAGAUGCGUUUUGAAGUCCCUUAAUGUAGUUGUCAAUCCAAGGGCCAUCGAGGCUUGAUCUUGAAUUGGGCUGGAGAUUUCUUCAAGGGCCGUUGAGGGUUGUUCUUGGACUUUGUUUGAAAUUUCUUCAAGGGCCGUCGAGGCUUGAUCUUGAAGGUUGAAAUUGGACCACAAGGAGCUUUAUGUGGUAGAUGAUCUUUGGCUUUGGUAGUGGAUGAAUCGGCACGUAUUUGUUUUUGCGCUUUGUUGACUUUCCACAGCUUUGAUCUUGAACUGGGUUGGAGGAUUUUUUUGGAUUCCUCCAAUUGUUGAUUUUCCACAGCUUAUUCUUGAACUGGAUUUGAUUCAAAUAUGGUGGACGCUUGAUCUUGAAUCGAACUUGUGAUUUCCUCAAGGGCCGUCGAGGCUUGAUCUUGAAUUUGGCCGGAAACUUCUUCAAGGGCCGUUGAUUGAUGCUUGAUUCUUGAAGGUUGACUCGAACACAUGGCAAGCAGGCACGAGGUGAAGGUGACGACUUGUUGCUUUGUUCAAUCUUUCUAAUUCACACCUGAGCAGUUUGGUCAACGGUAUGAUCUUCAAGAUUGAUGGGCUCUUCUUCCAGUUGGUGACUUGAUCUUUAAGGACUUGAUUCAAGGGUGGUGAAACGGCACAUGCAGCCCACAAUGCCUAGCAAGUCGACCCAAGAAUUUGAGGGUCAAAAUGAGUCCUCCACCCAGAGUGAUUGCAAACCUGAUGAUAUGAGAUACUUUUGAUUUUGAAGAAGUAGCAGAUGAAUCGACACGUGCUUUGUUGUGCUUGUCUCCACAUGCUUCAAUGUAUCAUUUUCCCUUGUCUUAUCUAUUCUUCUGGUAGAAUGUAGCAUCUUCUCGAGUUCUUCAGCUCAGACUCCUUCUGUUGAGCUGACUGUGCAGGUUGCAUUCUUCUCUACUUGUUUCUUCAGGCAGAUGUGGCAGCUUCUUGAGUUCCUCAGCUCGGACUCCUUCUGCUGAGCUGACUGUGAAGACUGCAUUCUUCUCUGCUUGUUUCUUCUGCACGUUGUCUCCACAUGCUGCAAUGUAUCAUUUUCACUUGCCUUAUCUGUUAUCCAGGAAAAUGUGGCAUCCGAGUUUGAGUGGAGGUUCCGGCAUAUUGUUUUCUUUAUCCUUGUCUUUGUAGGUAAGAACAAGGACAAAGGAAAGGACAGGGAGAACGCAUGAUAUGAGAUACUCUUGCUUUCUACCCUGGUGAUAUGAGAUACUUUUGCUUUGGUGUCAUUUGUUUGCAGAGGUACCCCAAGGAAUAAGAAACACUGAGUGACUCGAGAGGCUUCGUUGGGAAGGCAUUCUCGGAGAUGAAGAAAGGUUCUCGGAGAUGAAGAAAGGUUAUGUAUGACUGCCUUGCUAUUGAGGGUGAAGGUGGACAAUUAUAGGAAAUUCUUUAGUACCUGUAGAGGUACUAUUCUUUUACUCGUGUCGGCAACCAAUGCGUGAUUGAUCAGUAUGGCUUCACGUGCUUUCUUCUUUAUCAGAAAUCUUCGACAAAUUGUCUGUAAUUUUUGUCAAGCUGAGUGUGCAUGUGACAUGUGUUGACGAGGCUGAAAAAGACUGGCGCCUCUUCGAUAUCUGGGAUCGGCGCUUCGACAAAUUACCCGUGAUUUCCGCAAAGCUGAGUUUGCGCGUGACGGGUGCUGACGAGGCUGAAAAAGACUGGCGCCUCUUCGAUAUUUGGGAUUGGCGCUUUAACAAAUUGCCCGUGAUUUCCGCAAAGCUGAGUUUGCGCGUGACGGGUGCUAACGCGUCUGGAAAAGCAAGAUGCUUCUCCGAUUUCUGAGCUUGCCUCUUUGAUUUUUGAAUUGGCCUUUUCGAAUUCUGAGCUCGCCUCUUCGAUCUUUGAAAUCCCGUCGAGUGUUGAUCUUUAUAGAGGCACGCAGUUCGUUUCAAAGCACACUUGAAUUUUCGCUUGUAGAAACUCCCUUCUUGCACUUCUAAGAUCUUGAUUUGUCCGACCUCUUCUUUCUUCAACACCUUUGAAAAUGUCUGGACCCUCCGACCGUCGUUUUGAUUUGAACCUUGGUGAAGAGGUAGUCCCGUCUUCUCCAGAUAACAUAUGGCGCCCAUCCUUCAUAUCCCCUACUGGUCCUCUUACCGUUGGGGAUUCGGUGGUGAAGAAUGAUAUGACCGCUGCGGUGGUGGCCCGAAACCUUGUCACUCCCAGAGAUAACAGACUACUUUCCAAACGGUCUGAUGAGUUGGCUGUUAAGGAUUCUCUGGCUCUCAGUGUGCAGUGUGCAGGUUCUGUGUCUAAUAUGGCCCAACGCCUAUUUGCUCGAACCCGUCAAGUUGAAUCAUUGGCGGCUGAAGUGAUGAGUCUCAAACAGGAGAUUAUAAGGCUCAAGCAGGAGAAUAAACAGUUGCAUAAGCUCGCACAUAGCUAUGCGACAAACAUGAAGAGGAAGAUUAACCAGAUGCAAGAAUCUGAUGGUCAGAUUUUACUUGAUCAUCAGAGGUUUGUGGGUUUGUUCUAGCAGCAUUUGCCUUCGUCUUCUGGGGCCGUACCGCGUAAUGAAGCUCCAAAUGAUCAACCUUUGGCUCCUCUUCUUCCUGGAGUUCCGCCGAGUGGUGUGGCUUCAAACAGUCAACCUCCGGCGCCUCUCAUUCCUGGAGCUCUGCCGAGUGGUGAGGCGGCACCUGAUCGUCCUUGAAGAUCCCCUCUUGUAAAUUUGAUUUGAUUUUUUUUUUUUUUUUUUUUGUAAAUACAUAAUAACAUAUGUAUUUAUUUAUUUAUUCUUUUGUAAUAAAAUUGACUUUCUUUAAUAAAACUUAUAUAUAUAUAUAUUUUUUUUUUUGAUAUGACUGAACUCGAAAUUGAAUGUUCGAGCCGCCUACGUACCCUUCCAAAGAAGAGAUCAAGCCAUAACGUAGUUCAAAUGAGUGAUGAAUUUAACAGUAAUUUUGAUGAUGAUUUUGCCGUACACAGUUUAUGCUCUUGCGGGCCAGGAGCUUUGGUGUUGCCUUUUAUGCUCGUGCAGACCAGGAGCGUUGAUGUCGCCUUUUAUGCUCGUGCAGACUAGGAGCUUUGUGUCAUGCAGUUUAGACUCGUGCGGGCAAGGAGCUUUGGUUCGUGCAGUUUAGACUCGUGCGAACAAGGAGCAUUGGUUCGUGCAGUUUAGGCUCGUGCGAACAAGGAGCAUUGGUGUUGCCUUUUAUGCUCGUGCAGACCAGGAGCUUUGUGCCAUGCAGUUUAGACUCGUGCGGGCGAGGAGAAUUUGUGAAUUUUGUCAAGCAAUUUUGGAGAGGCGUUCCUCACAAUCUUCAUAGCAAGGAGCCUUGACCGAGUGAUUGAAGAAGUCUUUGGGAAAGAAAUCGCGCAUCGUGAUGGGGAUGGAUGAUCUAUGUGUCGAAAUUUCAUCAUCUUCAACACGUUCACAUUGCUUUGAAUGUUGACAAGAGCUGCUUUGCCCCCUUUCCGAUUGGCGGACUUGUGGAGGAGACGUAUGCUUCUUGUGCAAUUUCUUAGGAGUGACUUGAGUCCAUCCUUCAACUUUGCUUGUCUUGGAGGAUGCCCCCUGAGGUUGAGGUAAAAAUUUUGAGUCGGAAGAGCCAGAAGUGAUGGUGGUAUAGUUUGACUUCACCACAUCGUCAAGAUCUAGCUCGAUGAUUCCUUUCUGAGCCAGCUUCAUGAUGAGAUCUUUCAGCACGAAGCACUUUUCUGUCGGAUGACUGAUGAAGCGGUGGAAUUUACAGUACCUUGGACUGUCGGUGCGAUUCAUCUCUUCUGGCCGUCUGCACUCAGGCAAGCCGAUCACCUUCUUUUCCAGCAAGUCUUCUAACAUGGCAACCAUAUCAGAGUCGGGGAAUGGAUAAGUUUUCUCCUCAAGCUCUUUCAAAGUGCGUCUACGCAUCUUUUGAUCACGAAAAGCUUCAGCUUGAAUCGCCUUGCCUCGUGUAGGGAUUUUGACGGGAGAUGUGUUGACUGUCAUUGCUUCCUUGAUGGAUUUCCACGUAGCCUUCUCCACCUUUGUCUCAAGAAUUUUGUCAUUCUUGUAGUCGGCGAUCGGUUCCUUCUUCCCAUGAUGGGCGAUGCUCAACUCCAUGUCAUGGGCGCGGGUGGCCAAUUCCUCGAAGGUCCGUGGUUUAAUUCCUUGAAGGAUGUAUUGCAAACCCCAUUGCAUGCCUUGGAUGCACAUCUCGAUUGAAGAGGUAUCCGAUAGCCUGUCUUUACAGUCGAGGCUUAGAGUGCGCCAUCUGUUGAUGUAGUCAAUAACUGGCUCGUCCUUCCACUGCUUUGUGCUCGUUAGCUCUAGCAUGCUCACAGUGCGGCGGGUGCUGUAGAAGCGGUUGAGGAAUUCCCUUUCCAACUGUUCCCAGCUGUUGAUGGACUCAGACUCUAGGUCCGUGUACCACUCAAAGGCGUUUCCUUUCAGCGAGCGCACAAACUGCUUGGCGAGGUAGUCUCCCUCCGUCCCCGCAUUGUUGCAAGUUUCGACAAAAUGUGCAACGUGCUGCUUUGGGUUUCCUUUUCCAUCAAACUGCAUGAACUUUGGUGGUUGAUAUCCCCUCGGCAUCUUUAGGGCAUCAAUCUUCUUUGAAUAAGGCUUUGAGUACAACCCGGAGGUAUUUGAGCUCCCUUCGUACUGUGCCUUGACAGUGCUGGCAAUCAUCUCUUGCAACUGCUGGAUAGAAAGAGAUCCCAUGAGUGCCGCUUCUUGGUCUGGCUCCGGCUUCACAUCGAUUCUCUCCACCGUAGGCUCAUCUUCUGGGUUAGGGUUCUCGCCGUCCUGUGGCUCCAGUCGACUGACGAGUGCAGCAAUUUGCAAGUCUUUUUCUUCCACAGUUCGGGUUAGCCUUGCGAUUGCUUCAUUCAUUUGAGCCAGUUGUUCUUCGAUGGAGGUAACGUCGAUGGUCAUGACUUGUGCAACCAAUAGACGUGACUUUCCUUUAGACAUCCAAGAUGCUGACGAAGAACGUCGUUGGUUGUUUUGGGAUGUCAUCUUGUGUGCCUCAGCAGCAUGCUUCGGUGCCCCCAGCGAGGUCAGGUUGAUGACAGACUCACACCUUUGAUGCUCCCUUUGCUCUUUUAGCGGCACCAACUUUGAAGUGGCAUGUUGAGGAGCGGUUGUGGCGCCAAUGGAUUGUCCAUUUGCGGCAGAAGUGCUUAGGAUCCUUCCCUCAGUGAUUGCGAGAACGGCUUGUCCCUUGCUUGAUGCCAUUGACUUUGAGUGUGUUUGAAUUCCUUGAACGGAGAAAGAGAUGAGAGGUAGAGAUUGUCCCACUGGGCGUGCCAAUUUGUGAACACGGAAAAUUCCUGAAACGAAAGAGACAAGAACAACGUGCACAAAAUAGUAUUUGUGUUUGAUGAUUUUGGGUUACAAUCUUUCUCAAAUUUGAUCCUCUGAUUCGAUCUCCGUAAGGUGUUGAUUUAUGGAUGUUUCGUUGAUCCAAGGGCCGUCAAGGCUUGAUCUUGGAUGAACUAUUGGAAGUUUCUUCAAGGGGCCGUGGGCUUGAUCUUUGAAGGUGGAUUUGAGCGGAUCUUCAAGGAGCCGUUGGGGCUUGAUCUUGAGGAUGAGUGUUUCUUCAAGGGCCGUUUAAGGUUUGAUCUUGAAUAACGGUGAUGAACGGAUCUUCAAGGGCUUUUGGGCUUGAUCUUGAAGAACGGUUGGAUGUGUGGAUUUGUUGAUGUUUGUUGAUCCAAGGGCCGUCGAGGCUUGAUCCUGGAUGAACGGAUGAUGAACGAUGGUGCUUUCUUCAAGGGCCGUCGGGGCUUGAUCUUGAAUUGGUGGAAGUUCUUCAAGGGCCUUUGGGGCUUGAUCUUGAAUUGGUGAUUGUUGAUCCAAGGGCCGUCGGGGCUUGAUCUUAGGAUGAACAGUUGUGUGGAUUUGUUGAACACUUUCUUCAAGGGCCGUCGAUGCUUGAUCUUGAAUUGGUGGAAGUUCUUCAAGGGCCGUUGGGGCUUGAUCUUGAAGGAGGAUUUGACAAAGAACGAAGAGGGCUUUCUUGAUCCUUCGGGAUUUGUUUGAAUUUGGGAGGUUGGAUGCUUGAAAGCUUUAGAGUUUCAAAGCUUCAAGGAUUUUGGAUGUGUGGGGAGUAUUCUCUUCCAUUUUGGGAGUAGAGAAAUGUAUUUGUGAAUUGGUUUCCCUUCAUUCUUUGAUGGAGGAGCCUAUUUAUAGGCUUUGGGAACGAAUCACCACCAUCCAUUUGUUUUGGUGGAUGUUGUAGGUGAAUUUUGGUGGAUGUUGUAGGUGAAACUUGGUGGAUGUUUGUAGGUGAAACUUGGUGGAUGUUGUAGGUGAACUUAGUGUAUGAUGUAGGUGAAGUGAAUGAAGGUUGUAAUUUUAAUACAAUGGUCAACAUUUAUUUCACCAAAAUUUCAAUGUUUAUAAAUGUAAUCUUAAUGCAAUGGCUAACAUUUAUGCCACCGAAAUUUCAAUGUCUACAGACAUUCACACAAAAGAAGCCAACAGAUGAGAUGUUUGUUGGGGUAAUGAAUUUAAAGCAACGGAUUGCAGAUUCAUUGUUUCCAAAUACUGCAAACUGCAAUAGACGAAGUUGUGGAUGCCGAUAUCCUUGGGAUGGAGGAAGAUCGCGAUUUCACGAGCAUGAGGGAUUGCUUUUCAUCCGUUAUGAGAUUAGCUUUAGUUUGUUCUUCCAUAAGGGAGGAUUAACAUGCAAGAUGUUGUGGUCACACUCAAAAAAUAUCAAGGACUGUGGAUGAGUGAAUUCUUAAAGCUGGUUUGGCAUUGCUGAAAUUAUUUUAAAAUCGGUUUUUUUAUUAAAAAAAAGGGGGCUAAAAUUGAGUUUGGUAAAUGAAAAAAGCGUUUUUUUUUUUUUGUCUAAAUCAUGAGUUCAAAACAGCAGAAAACAAAAGCAACUCUACCCCUGCUUGUAAAAACAAGGUUUUUUUUUUUUUUUUUUUUUUCACAGAGCACAACAACCCCGAACUAGUCCUUAGGUCUUUGUUCAUCUCUUUACCUUCGGAUUCACUUUCUUAUUGUUGUUUUUGAUCUGCAAAGACUGCAUUAAUUUCUAAGUGACGAAUGUGACAACGUUCCUAAAAUCGAAAAGGUGUACCUGGAAUUGUCAAGGAAAUAAGACCAGUUGUACCAAAAUUGCAAUUCCAAUUAUUCUUCCCAUCUUUUGGUAGCAAAGCAUUCAGUUUCUACUGCCAACCAAAUCCGUUUAAAAAAUUUACACUUACAGGUCAAGAACACCGGCCAUGGGAAUACAAAGUUAUUUCAGUCAAUAUAUCAGGAAGUUACAAACUUCUACACGUGCCCUUGACAAAAAAUUCUAGGGCAUUGAGACUGUUACUUUACCAAUUCUAGGCCCUUGACAAAAAAUUCUAGGGCAUUGAUAUUUUCAGUAAAAUUUACUGGUUAAGUUGGGUUUUUCAAGUGCUUCACCAAUUUGUGCUCAUCUUUCUAACGAAAGGAACAAAGUUAUUCCAAUUUUCGGCCCUAAAGAUCUUAUCAUUCAUUCUGAAAUACGUAAAUGAUCUUACAGGUUCAGCCUGGGAAUGGUAACAGUUAGCAUGUAUUUGCCAUAAACCAACCUGCAAGAGAGAAGCAGACGCGUGAAUGCGCAUGACAGAAUGGGCACAAAAAGAAAAAUUGGUUAACCAUUAAACGCUAUCAGAAGACAUUUUUCUAUCUAGUUAUAAGACAUUUGCAAUAUCCAAUAUAUUUCCAAUAGAAAUAAAUGGUAGCUGAAAUUUGCUUUUGUUCUUGAGCAAAGGAUGAAUUUACCCUGUCAAAUCGUUCAUGGGUAUUUCUCCCGAUCAAAUGUAUCCUUUUCUUUGAAACAGUCCAUAUCUGGUGUAAACAGAAUCAUGUUAGACUAAUAUUCGAUAAACAUUUAACAGAAGAAACCAAUUGACUGAUAUAGAAUUAAGAUAGCAGCAAGCCACCGCUACCACCACCUACUUCCGUAAAUGGACAGACCAAUCUACAGUAAGAUACUGAUAUACAGUAUGGUGAUACAAUAUCAAUUGUAUUCCAAAUUUAAACAAAACAUAAGAUGAUUAUUGGUGAACUAGUCAUAUGUUUCAUUUUUAUUAUCCGCACAAAACAACCAAAUUAAAACUAAAGAUUUACCUCAUAAUGAACUAUAAAAUACUAAAAGAAACAUCAAAAACUGAUCAAUAAUGCCCAAUAUCUGUAAUACUAAAAAUGCUCAUAUGGCCCGUUCCAAGUCCAUGUUGAACCUGCAGACCCUAGAAAACCUGUCGUGCCAAGCACAGAUGUAUGGGCUAGUCCUACCUAACUUUAAAGCUUGAAUUAUACAAAAUAAAAUCUCUAAAGUAAAGAAAAAGUACCAACAAGGCAACAAGCUAAGGAAGUAUUAUUAAUCAACAGGCCCCGUACCUGCUGGAGUAAUCCUUCUGGGCUGCAAAGAUAGGAUGCCGGAUUAUCACCAUCUGUCAUUUCUAAGCAGCUGCAAUAAGAUAUUUAGUAUGUGAGCAUGGUAGAUUAGAUAUAUUUGAAAUCAAGUGAAUGUCUAAGAAAACCUAAUUAUCAGGUUGGACAGAACAAAAUUCCAGUCAGAACCUUAAAACUUAGAAUCUUACGAAACAUGCAAAGCAGCUCCAUGACGAGACAAAAUUGAAGCAACAGGAUCAUAACCAUCUCUAAGAGCAGUGUUGUAGUAUCCAGCUGUAAGUUCAGCAGGGUGUGAUACUGUCUGGUACCACCAAUAUAUUCCACCAAUUUUAGCCGCCAAUAGAAUAUUAGUUUGCUUGUUUUCUUGAUAUUUCUUCAGAAUGUUGGCUGCCUUUGCAAGAAUAUCAUCUGCAUGACGGAGCAACCUACCACUGUACCAUUCCUACAACGAGUCAAGCCAUUGUUAGAUCUCCUAAGAUCCACAUUAUUUUCCAAUAAGUUUAAUCAUGUUAUGCAUAAUUAUAAUAUUGUAGCAUGAUAAAGAACCAUAAUAUAAUUUCCCACUUCUACAUCUAUAACUGUCCUUCAUUUAUUUACCAAUACAUCCUAUGAUGAUAUUUUUUUUCCUCUAAAAGACGCUAUACUUUUUUCAUUCGUAAUGAAACUGCAUUUAACUUCGUGCAGUUUUUUAAAAACCUAUUCCCUUGUCAUGGCUUCAUAUUAAAUCUUUAAAACAUAUCUACUUUUUAAUCAUGUUGUGUAUGAGUAUUUAAGAAAAUAGUUACAAGAAAAGUUCCAGAAAUGAUUGAAAAGAUAUAUUGCAGGACCAUUGUUUACAGUGAAGUCUUGCAUGGCUAAAGAAACACCAUCCAAUUAAGCGUUUGCAUUUUAUUCUAUGUGGUAGUUUGGUAGUUCGCUAGUUCUAGGAUGAAAUGUGCAUGAACAGAAUGAUAAAAAUAUUUAUGUCGUGCAUUUUCUUUGGAAAAAAAUAAAGCGAGCUACUUCCAUCAGUUUCAUACAAGGAAAAAACACCCAUAAUCAGAAAGAAAGCUUUCCUCUCCCUCUUCAAAGAAAGGAACUUCAGAUGGGAGACUGUUGUAGCAGCCAGCAUUUUGUGGUCCCCUCUCUCCCCACUGAGGCUUUCCUUCCUUGCGUGCAGCCAUCUUUAGGUCAUCCAUCCUAAAAGGAACAAGAUUGUAAAUAGUAAAAAUUCAGUUGCUCAAAUUUUCGUCACAGGAAUGAAAGGUUUUUCAACAUACAUGUACUUGUCAUAGCAUUGGAAUUCACCGAUUCCAGGAAACUUCCAUCUACCAUCACCAAAAGGAUGUGCAGGAUAUCUGUGUGAGCAAUGUAACAAUGUUGCAUAAGAAAUCAUUGGACUGGCUUCAUACUCAAGGUUCUAGUGUAACUGUAACAUACCUAAGUUCACCAGAAGGACCAAGGCCAACACUAAUUUCUUCUAUCACAGUUCCGAUAAAAGAUUCAAAUUUCUUAGCAAAAUUUGACAUGAAAUCUUCAUAACAUUGGAGGGCAGUCCGGCCACAAAAGAGAGGAACAUGAUCAACUCCGAGUGUAAGAUAAUCAUCAUUGGAAUACCCAUUUUGAUCGCGAUAAUAUAUAUGCUUAUUCUGAUCACCGAUCUGGGAGGAAAAAAGAAGGGGUUCAACUUCUUUAUCUAAAUUCAGGAUUCAAACUGAUAUGCAUGUAAUUAGACCAAACUAUAGUUUUUAUUUCGCAUCCCUUUGCAUUGAUAAGCCUUUCAUGCGCAUCAAAGCUAAAAUCAAGUAUGCUAAUGGGGAACACAGUACCAUAGCACGUUGCAGAGCAGGAAACUGAAGACACGUUGAUAUUGUCUCUAGUCAUCCAAAUCGGUUGUGUUUCUUAUUUUGUCACAACAGAAAGUAUGACCGGGUAAUUUAAACGUUCCAAUACAGCCAUGUGCAUUUUACCAGACUAAUAACUUGAACAAUCUAAGAAAACUACUAGGCCAAACAGUCAAAUGGGAUUUCAAAAUAGCAUAGAAAACAAACCUCUACGAUCCAUAGCGGAAGACUUACACCUCCUUUUCUGCUAGAAGAAGAGUUAACAUUUGAAUGAAAAGACAAGGCAACAUGCAACUUCAAACCUGACUCAGAAAUCAGUUUGAAAAGCUCUUCGUAUAGAGACCAAUCAUAUGCAAGAGGAGAGAAACGCUCUACGAUUCCCCACCAAACCUCAACUGCAAUUCCGUGGACGCCUGCCAACUUGAGUGCUUUAAGAGCUACAGUUAAGGCCUUGAUUCUGAAACAACAAUAAAUCGAGCAACAUAUAAAGAGUUUCUGUCUCACCAAUAGAACAAAUUUAGAAACAAAUUGAAACACACAUAUAAUCCCUACAUAACUUGAAUUGGGCUGCAACCUUCUAGCUAAUCAUGUUCCGUCCUUUAAAAGAGUAUAAAAAUUAAUUCAAGAAUGAGAAUGCACCAUAACCUCAUCAACAGAAAGUCAUAAUAAAACUUACUUCCUAAUCCUUGGACGCCCCGAACCAUCAAUGCAGAAAGCAUCAACAGGCAUCAUCACAUAUAUGGGAAUUCUCUUAUCUCGGGAUGAUGGCAAUAUCGAGGACCUCGGAUUCUCACGUGCAUCCAUACUACAAGCAAUAAAUCAUCUAAUUAUACACAUUUAUACAAUCCAAUUUGAACAUUCAAAAGCAACAAACCAGCUCGAAUCGAUAAAUUAAGCUUUCGGUUCUAAAUUUCGUCGUUUUGAAUUUAUCAGAAACCAAACCGAACCUGCCCAAGUAUUCAGUAAACCCUACACUACACAAGCUCAAAGGUUUUAAUUUUCUUAUUGAUUUUCCUGCGUUUUCUCGGGAACCAAACAGACCGUGCAACUGAAAAGAAAACGGAAAAACCCCAUAAUUGUGUGAGAAAAACCUGAGAAUGCUGUUUCCGGCGACAGAUGGGCUGCAGCGAGUGAAGAUGCCGUUUUUAAAGACGGGAACGGCUGAAACGUUCCGGAGGUGGUUUCGGCGGUUGGGCUUGUCAUCGAAGCUGACUUCUCUGAAGCAGAAGAAGCUCCUCCUGGCUGCCGUGCAUUUGCACACCACUCGCCCAUUGUCCGCCAUUGCCAUCGAUCACAGAGAAUCUCAGAGAGAUAGCAAAUUCUAAUGUUUCUAAUUUAUUUGCAGCUGAAAUGUAAGAUCGACUGGUAGUAUGGUGUGAUCGGUUUCGUGUUGUGGGCCUAUCUGCACGAACGGCUGAGAUUACUUGAUCUUAGGGUGCGCGUGGGAAGGAUCCGUAGAGGAUCUGGUCCUUUUUCUUUGUGGCCCAAAUGUAAGAUACUGUAUUUAGCCUUUCAUAUAUAUUUUUUUUAUUUUUUAUUUUUCAAUUGUGUGACGAGCAUUGAGAGUGAGUGGUCAAAAUUUAAUAAAAGUUAUCUUUGUAUUUUUUUAUUAUUUAAUUUGAGAUAUUACACUCUUCGGUUUGGUUUGAGAUUUAGAAGUUUGAAAAUGUGUUUGAAAUUGCAUUCUCAUGUUUGGGAUCAACUUCACCAUACAUGGGAUGGAAUAAAUUGGUCGCAUUUUCCCACGUUUUAAACACGGAAAUGAAGACUUGUUCUCGUCUCUUUAGAAUAAGCAGGUGUUUCAUUUUAAUUUAGAAACUAGACAUCUGGAUUUUUAGAUAUUAAACUCGUUAUUUCUAUUAUGACGUUAUUUCUAGUCCUCAUCAAAAUAACAAUCAGCGAAAGAGAAGAAACAAAACAUAAUAAAGAAAGCGUUGCCUUCUUACAACUUAAGCUAAUAUCAACCUGUUUGGUUUCUUAAAAGAGCAAAACAACUCUAAGACUUGGAAUUUGAUAACCUUUCUUGUAUCCUUACCUGUUGAUAGCAACAAAAAUCCUGACAAGUCUCUCUCUCUCUCUCUCGUUGGACGCAAAGAUAUGCAUAAUAUUCUCGAUGAUAAGCCUAACGCCUUGGUGUUUUAGCACGCUAGAGUACAACUUCCUUCCUCAUCGGCUGCCUAAUCUAACAUGCAUUAUUCUCGAUGUGUUGUUGGAGUUAAGCCCCUGUACAAAACCAGACCAUUUCUGGGGCCUUGAUGUUGGCUGCCAAGGACAAAAAAGGUGGAGUAGGCGUAUGCAAAGUUUAUUGAAAACGAAAUCGAAAUUACCAAAUCCAAUUAUCAUAUUAUGGAGAGGUACAUGUGAAAGCAAAGGAAUGGAUAGAAAAGGUAGGGCACAAGUAUCUCCUACUGACGAAAUUCUGGAGACUUACAUCCCCGGGGCUGCAUGCACCUCCCACACAAACGACUUAAGUUGAAACAACUCUUCUACAUUUCCAACUGAUUUCUUGGUGCAACUUACUUGAGAAACACAGCUUCCUUGUAUAUCAAACACCCGGUCUUCAACGUUCUGUUUGAUAGGCAAAUCGUCUCGAAGAAUAACAGCGGUGUGCAUUGCAAAGCAAACAAAAUCUUGAAGAAAAACAAAUUUAACAUCAGUGUGCAAAAUAAACACACAAAAUAUGAUUAAAUUAUAAAUCAUUCAAUAGAAUGAUACAUACAGAGUAUAUAAAUCACCAGUAGAGGGCCAAAAACAAAAUAAUAAUAAUAAUAAUUCUUAAUUCUAAUAAAUAUAACUAAUCUUGAGGAGCAGGAAACCAAGUGUGUUGAUUUAGAGUGCCAAAGCAACCCAGAUAGACAACCCGCUCAAAACCACCCGAGCCGCAUUCAAACCCGAAGCCGACGAAUCAUCGCUUGAUGGACCCUGCGCAGCACUAUCCGGUGACAGACUCGCCGGCGCCGGGAUCGGUGGGCUACCGCUUGAUGGGAACAUUCCCGGGGACUCUGCCGGUGUUGCUGAACUCGAAGGAAUGCCUACUGGUAACGAGGGGGUCGCUGCAAUCUCAGGACCCUCUGCAACUGGCGCAGCCCCCACUGGACUUUCCUUCGGAGCGCUCACCGGAGUUUUGGCCGGAGAGGCAACGGUGGGCGGAGGGGACGCCGGAGAUUGAACCGGAGAAGACACACUCUUGGACGGGCUCUUCGCUGGAGAAACCGGUGCGGGAGGAGACGGCGGAGAGAUGGUGGGUGGGGUCGACGGCGGAGAGGUGGUGGGUGGGGUCGACGGCGGAGAGGUGGUGGGUGGGGUCGACGCUGGAGAGACGGUGGGUGGGGUCGAAGCCGGAGAAGUUGGCGGAGAGGUUUUGGGAGAAGGCGAAGGAGGCGACUGAGUCGGAGAGGAUGCCGGAGGAGUUGCAGGAGAAGUGGUCGGAGAAGAAGCCGGAGAGGGUUGCGGUGGCGGGUUUGUGGAGGGUGUAGAGGGUUUGGGGGAAGGAGCAGGCGCAUUGCCUGCAUGUACCACAUUGAAAUGCGGGACGAUGCAGAGGAGAAGAAGAGAGAGUAGAACAAAUUUGUUAUGCAUCUUUGGAAAUCUCUGAUGAAACUUCAAACUGAAAGUUGCUGUGAAUGAUGAUUCAGUUCUGACUGCUGAGAGAUUGAUGAGGAAGGAGAUGAAUUUAUAGGGAAGAGUUAUUUCCGAAAAUAAUUAGAAUUUAAGACGUUGGGAGUAGAAGCGUCGGAAGUUUGUUCGGGGGACAACUCAGAAAAUGUGACCGUUGGGAAGGGUGGGAUGGGGUGCCACUGGCUAUAAUCGGUAAAGUAGCCGUUACUUGGCACGGCAUCACAGGCUUGUCCGGUUGGUUUGUCGUGGAAUAACUGUUAAGAAAUGCGGUCCUCCGCUGGGAUGUAACUUUGUUGAAUAAAUAGUUAAUGUUGGUCUAGUUUCGUUGGAGAGGUAACUUUUUUCCACUCAUGACUAAUGGGACUUCGAUUAUCUUUAUCUUUUUGUGCACAUGGUUUGUUGCUCGAAUCUCUUUUCUCGCUGUCCUUUGUUUUGUAUAAGAAUAAAAUAAAAGAGGUUUUAACAAAACAUUUUUGGUAUUGUUUAUUUUUAACAAAAAAUCACAUUUUACUUUUAACUGGCACUAUUCACUAUACAUUUAAAAAUGACUUUUCGUUAAAAGAUAAGUUUUUUUUAAACUUUUCGUUAGUUUUCCUUAAAUAAAAUAUUCUAAUCUAACUCAAUACAUUAUGUCAAGGUAUUAAAGGUAUUUCGAGUAGGUUCUUUAUCGAGAAAAUAAUACAUAUUGCGAAUUGUUUUUACGAUGAAACCUUAGCUUUCUUCAAAAUAAUCAUUUGGUAAACAUGUCUCCUAUUAGGCAGUUGGACGAGGAUACGAAAGCUUUGCUUACUAUACAACCACUAAACUUUCGUGUACCCAUACUUGCCGCCAAGCAAACGGUGUUUUUUAUUAUCUUGCUCGCUUUGCUCUUGGUAUUGGCAACCCUAGUCUUUGGUUUAUGGAUCCUCCUGACUUUAUUUUAGAUUUACCUGUCGAGGAUUGUAGUCUCUUAAGCUGGCUAAGUUCCUAACUCUCUAUUUCGUUGCAUUUUCUUCAACGAAUCUUAUUGUUUCUAGUAAAAAAAAAUGGAGGGAAAAACAUGAUUUUCUUAGGUUCUAUACAACACAUUGUAUUUGUUUGUUUGUAUGUAAUUAUAACAAUUUGAAUUUGAAUACAGUUUUAUUAAUUGAUGAUUGGAGCAACAAAAAAAGCCGAAUUGUGGAUGGGUAGAAAAUUUCGUAGAGUGAGUUUGUAAACAAUAGGUGUUGUAAAUGUAAUAUAUGACAUUUAAUUUUUUUUGUUUGUUACCCCUCAAAGUAGGGUGACACGCUCUAUUAACCCGAAUAGUUUAGAUCAUUUGAAAUGAGGUGUCAAAUUAAAAUGUUAAAUUUUAUUUUUAUGACUUAUGUGCAAAAUAACCUUUUAUAAAGGCUAUUUUUUUCAACCGAGAUGUCAAAUUAAAAUUCUUUUUGGUUAUUUAUAAAAUCAAGUGGGUUAGAAUUUAACAAUAAAAUAAUCAAAAAGGGAAGAAAAAAUAAAAUAAAAUAAAAAAUGGGAUAAUUUGAUUGCGGUCCCUAAUCCUUAACAUUAUUUGAUUAAAACCUUAAUAGUAUUCAAAGUUUGAUCAAGGUCCCUUGACUUUGUACACCUCAUUAUAUUACUAUUAAUAUUUAUAUUUUUAUAGUUUUGACAUUAAUUGUUUGAUAUUUUAUGAGAUUUAUAAUCCUAUAAAUUUAAAAUCCCUCUUUAUAAUACUAUUAGAAACGGUUACAAUAAAAAAAUUCAAACAUUUUAAUUGAAUAAAUGGAUAAAAACUAUGUAAAAAUAAGAAAUAAUAAAUGGCAAAAGAAUGUAUCCAUAGUGUUAAAAAAAUUGGUACAUUUCACAUAUAACAAAGUGGUACAUUAAUAAAGAAGAAUGGGUACAUUAUAAAUAAAUUAGGGUACAAAUAAAAAAUUAAAAAUUAUGAGUACAAAUGAAUUUUUAAAAAGGGAAAAUUAGGUUUACAUCAUUCUUUUUGUUACUCCAUUUAUUAAAAUCCUAUUUAUUUUCAAUUUUUGAUCAAGGUCCUUGGGUAUUAACAACAUCAUUAAUUAUUUGAAUAAUAAAAUAUUUUUAUUUUUAAAUAUAUCCCUUUAUUGUUAAAAAUGUUACAAUUAGUAUAUUUAUAUUUAUAUUUAUGGUUAAAUUUUUUAUCAUAUAUUUUUAUUUUUUAGUUACCAAUUUUUAAUUUGCAAAUAUUUUUUAAUUUGUACCAAUUUUCUUUUCAUUUUUAAUUUGUACCCAUAUAUUAGUUUCUUUUUGUGCCCAUAUUUUUUAAAGUUUUAUUUGUGUUUGUACCCAUGUGUAUACCAUUACGUGACAUUGUAUAUUUAAUCAAUGAUAGAAAAAUUACAUAUGGUAUAUUUAUGUUUUAUGCCUAAACUUUGUAUCAUAAAUUUAUAUUUUUAGUUUGUACCCACUUUUAAUUUGCAACAUUUUUUUUUAAAUUUGUAGUAUUUUCUUUUUAGUUUUAUUUUGUACCCAUUUAUUAAUUUCUUUUAGCAUCUAUAUUUUUAAAAAUUCAUUUGUACUCAUAAUUUUUAAUUUUUUAUUUGUACCCUAAUUUAUUUAUAAUGUACCCAUUCUUCUUUAUUAAUGUACCACUUUGUUAUAUGUGAAAUGUACCAAUUUUUUUAACACUAUGGAUACAUUCUUUUGCCAUUUAUUAUUUCUUAUUUUUACAUAGUUUUUAUCCAUUUAUUCAAUUAAAAUGUUUGAAUUUUUUUAUUGUAACCGUUUCUAAUAGUAUUAUAAUGAGGGAUUUUAAAUUUAUAGGAUUAUAAAUCUCAUAAAAUAUCAAACAAUUAAUGUCAAAACUAUAAAAAUAUAAAUAUUAAUAGUAAUAUAAUGAGGUGUACAAAGUCAAGGGACCUUGAUCAAACUUUGAAUACUAUUAAGGUUUUAAUCAAAUAAUUUUAAGGAUUAGGGACCGCAAUCAAAUUAUCCCAUAAAAAAUUAUAUGUGGGCCCAACAUUAAAAUAAAACAAAAAUAUAUAUGUUUAACGUUGCCUUCAAAUUUGACAGCAAAAUGGAGAAUUCAAAUUUGACAUCACCUUUAAAGAUUCUCUCAGGAGAUGUACAAUUUUAAACCUAAAAUUUACGUUUUGUUCUCUACUCAGUAUGUCAAAUUCAAACUAUUAUUCUUACAUUAUUUACUUUUCAUAUUUGUAAUAAAGAGUAAACCGCCGAUUUGCCUCCUGAACAUUCAAUUAACUUUCAAUUUCCCCCCUAAACUUUUUAAUUGAAAAAUUAAGGACUUAAACUAAUUUUUUUUGCUGAUUUCCCUACUGAUAGUUUUUUAUUUAUUUAUUUUUAUUUUUUUUAUAGAUUUCAUCUAAAUUAAUGUGAACUCUUAUCAUGUGCACACCAUAUGACUCUCCUCUGAGGACAAAAACAUCACUUCCCUAGACAUUCAGACACAAAAGCUAUAGAAUCACACAGAUUUGCAUAGAUUUACUUUUUAGAAAUCUAAGGUUUUCAAUUAUUUUAAAGAAUGAACCGACUAACUAUCCUCAUAAGUUGUGCACAUGCAUCCAUUUAACAAAAAUUUGGAUGGAAUAAAUAAAAAAUUAACAGCUAAGGGCAAAUUGGCCAAAAAAAUUAAUUUAAGUCCUUAAUUUUCCAAUUAAAAAGUUUAGGGGGAAAUCGAAAGUUAAGUGAAAGUUUAGACGGCAAUCCACAUCGUGCCACAUAAGAAUUGUCAUUUUAGUAAAAUUUUGAGAAACGAUGCCAGAGAUAUUCGUCAUCGAAACGUACCGUACUACUUCCUUUCUAUAAGCCAUGUCCUAAAAGGUCUUCACAAUUUUCUCAAUGCUCAUUUCACUCUUACAGUGGGAAAUUAACUCAUGCGUCAAUUGUAAUGUUUGUCUGUGGAAGUGAUCGGAAAGGUGGCUAAUUGAAGAUGUUUUGUUUACCCAGAGGUGAUAAGGUUAAAACAACUAUGAGUUUACUGUCGUAAUACAAAACUUUCUCCUAAGUUUCCAUGAUUUAAUUUCUUCGGCUUAGAUGGUCAUUGUUAAUAAAUCUAUCAAUCGCAAUGCUAAUUAACGCACAUAUGAUAUUUUGAUAUUGUUUGUUACCCUGAAAUUAUGAAUCGGUGUUAUGGCAUAAAGGUAUCACUCCCAGAUACUAGUACCUAUGUCCGGUAUCAAAAAUCAUACCGCCUGAAUGACAGUUCUUGGAUAUCAGACAGUAUCGUCAAUUAGUAGCGCCACCGUAGGCUGAUUACAGGUUAGAGCCCGCUCGGGUAGAUGGUUUCAAAUGAUUGGUAAGGAACUGGUCCUGUGAGGUGGUUUCAUUAAUUCUAGAGAAAAUACUUACUGCUUCGGGGAUUUCUACUGACCAUAGGUAUAACAACUCGUACACCUAUGCCUAUGCUCAUCGAAAUGACGAGUACAUCACCGAAAAAAAUUCGAGAAACUAGUAUUGGUUGGAAUAUUCUAAGGCCGGAAAAAGGAAUUUGCUAAUAACCUACUUCAGAACAGGUUUAAUGAGAUUCAAUCUUCUUUCUGAAGAUCUAGAAUUAUAACUAGCGCGUUUGAGAAGAUUAGUGCUAUCGGUAACCAAAAGUGACUAUCCCUUAGAUGUUCUUCCGUUGAGUGAUGCCACUUUAGCACAGAUUGUCACUUCAGACAUUUCUGGAAUCUCAACGAAAGUAAACUUCAUAGGAAUUUUGAUAGAUGGUAUGCUAAUGGAUAUUGCCAAGAAACUAAAACUAUUCUUGGUUUCUUAAAUCAAAAGGGUUGGUAAAGAUGACGAGAUAAUAGUAGUGGGAUUUGUUGUUGCACAAAACCGGAAGGUCUUAGAACAACGUAAAUCUGACCGUGAAUCUGCAAAAAGUAAAGAACACAACAUGUAUCGUGGUUCAUCCUAAUGUUUGGGCUACGUCCACACUAAUGUUGAUUGUAUUUCUCUGUAACUGUAUGUAUGGAUUACAAGUGUGAGGGGGAGUCCCCCAAAGAAAGAGAGAGUUUGAGAGCGCUUUGCUCUGAAUGUGAGAGGAUGAGGAGUCCCUUUUAUAGACUAAGAGCUCAUCACUUAUUACAUAUUUGCCCCUUCAUUUAGUACAUAAUUACACUUGAGUCCCCUGAGUAUUUAUACGAGGUCUACAUACGAAGGCCCUAAGUAUGGUACAAACAGUAGUCCCCCAAGUCUUCAGUCAAGAGAGUCUUUUGGCUGGAGACUUGAAAUUCAGUCUAUGUGUGGGCCGAAAUAACUAGAUGUCGUCUAGAACUGAUACUCAAUAUGAGGCGGUGCCCAAUCUGAAAUAAUGCUCAACUAGAAGUAGCACAUGUUGCGAGGCUGCUCUGCUUGUGGCUUAUGUUGCCUUGGUUGGCUCAGCUUGUGGUGUUAAAGGUAAGGGAGUCCCUUUUAUAGAAUAAGGGCUCACUCAUCAAUACAUAAAUGAUGGGUUAAGAGUGAUGCUCUAAUGAAGGUGAGGGAGUCCCUUUUAUAAAAUAAGGGUUCGCUCCUCAAUACAUGAAUAAUGGGUGCUCUCUAAUGAUAGUGAGGGAGUCCCUUUUAUAAAAUAAGGGUUUGCUCCUUAAUACAUGAAUAAUGGGUGCUCUCUAAUGAAAUUGAGGGAGUCCCUUUUAUAGAAUAAGGGUUCGCUCCUUAGUACAUAAAUAAUAGGCUAGAGUCCCCCAAGUAUUUUUCAUGAGGCCCAGUUGUGGAAGCCCAAUAUAUGGUACAUAGUGUAGUCCCCCAAGUCUUCUGUCAAUGGAGGCUGUUGGCUGGAGACUUCAAAUUCAAUCCAUGUAUGGGCCGAAGUGGCGAGGUGGUCUUUGUAUACCAUGCAAUGAAGCUUUGUAAGUGAAGCUUUUAAAGUGAAGCUUUGAAGCUGGAGAUCUGUAAAUAAAGCUUUUGAAGCUGGAGCUCUCGAAGCUGGAGCUCUGUAAAUGAAGCUUUCGAAGCUGAUUGACAUGAGUGAUGCUCAUGAAUGUUUAUGUUGAUUGACAUGAGUGAUACUCAUGGAUGUUGACAUGAGUGAUGCUCAUGAAUGUUGACAUGAGUGAUGCUCAUGAAUGUUGACAUGAAUGAUGAUCAUGAAUGUUUAUGUAUGAUUAACAUGAAUGAUGCUCAUGAAUGUUUAUGUAUGAUUGACAUAAGUGAUGCUCAAGUAUAAUUUUGGAGUACUGGACGUACUUUUAAUCACCUGGUUGGUGAUAAUAGCGACAGGCUGCCGAAUAAUUUUGGAGUACUGGGCGUAUUUUUGAUCACUUGGUUGGUGAUAAUAGCGGUAAACUGCCGAAUAAUUUUGGAGUACUGGACGUACUUUUGAUUAUUGGUUGGUGAUAAUAGCGGGUGAACCUUAAGUGGUGGGAUGGAGGUUGGAGUUUGAAGCCAUAGGACCUGGCUUUUUUAGGCAUAUGGGCUUUUACCCUCCACAUAACAUUCCAGCCCACUACUUUGGGCUUGUCGACAUUUUGCCCUUUUUUUUGGCAUGCUGCCUUCUUUACACAUCAGUAUAACUGUACAAUAAUUGCUCCAGUUUGCAGAAGAUAACUUAAUAAAAUAUUCAUCAAUGACAAUGGGUAUGGGCUGUAAAGAUAAGAGUCUUAUCUUUGUGGUUGUUUUCCAUAAGUGCGAAUGGAUGAUUGAGUGUGGCAGAUGAGAGACAUGGGCAUGGUGGGAAUGAUGCUCAAUGUCUUAUCUUUGAAGAUUUGCAUGCCUACUUUACAGCAAAUACAUCCAUAGCUUUUUCAUACCGUCCACAUGAUGAAAGUUGGUGGGCAUCUUCUGCGCUGUCAUCGUGCCAAGUUGACUCCCUUAAUCAACAAAGAACUUGGGCUAUUGUGCAUUAAUUGCUCAUUUUCCUGUAAUUUUUUCAGAAAAGUGGGAACAUGCAUGAUGAAAGUUGGUGGGCAUCUUCUGCGCUGUCAUCGUGCCAAGUUGACUCCCUUAAUCAACAAAGAGCUUGGGCUGCUGUGCAUUAAUUUACAUCAGGGAAGGGCGUCAGCUCUUCAAACGAGGGCAUAUAGAAUGGACUCUCAGAUUCUAAGGCGCCAAGAGAUCUAGAUGCACAAAAAUCUCAAACCUUAAAUGUAUGGAUCCUCUUCUGUCAUCGAAACGCUUGCUACCAACCACGAACCAGCCCCCUGAAAACUCUUAAGAGAAAACCCAGCCAACUCCGAUGAGGCCGAGAUUGUGGAAAAGCGGGAAGGAGCAGAGAGGCGGAAUCUGAGAUCCGGGUCUAGGCUGAGUUCGAACUGGGCCUUAUCAUUCUAGAUGGUCAUGCCGACGACUGGAAAGAUACCGAUGGGUUCGAGUUUUCCCUCUUCCCUACUCUUGACCCAGAUGCUGAAAACGAGCACAAAGGUGGAAAGAUGACUAUUAAGGCUUUGCUUGAUGGCUGUGAUGCAUUUUUCAUGGUUCAAGUUGAUAGGGAUUUUGAGCUGCUCUCUAUUAUCUGAAUAUGCUGACAUCAGGUAUUUUCCCAAGCUUAUUAUCCCUUAGCACCAAUUCCUGGAAACCGGAGAGAGUGUCUUAGCCGGAGAUCGGUUCGAUGGCGGCGUCUUCGAUGAGGUUCUGAUGGAGAAAGAUCUUUUUUAGGUUGGAGAAGGUCGCAAUCUGAGGGUCUAAACCUGUGAGGCGGUUCGUCGUCAGGUCUAACUCUGUUAGACUCGACGGUAACUCGACCGAGUUGAGGUCGUGGAGCUGGAAGCUGGUGAGAUCGAGGACUGUCGAGGACGGAUCGUCGUCCGCCGUCUGAUCAUCGUGAUCUACAGGAUUCUGACUCGGCGGUGGCGCUUCAGUCUGGUCGGCCAUUAAAUGAACGGUAUACGCUAGCAUGCGUGUUGCAUUUUUUUUUCAGUAGAUCUUGUAGGAGAUGGUGGUUUUACUGGGAAUGGGAGAGAGUUGUGUGGGAGAAUAUAUGGUCGUAAAUGUCGGGUUUCCAUCGCUGCUGCCGUGACCGAGAACUGGAAUAGAAGACAUGGGUUUUGUAGUGACUUUGUAGAUGUUUGGUGCUUGGGUUUUUGCAGAUUCAUGGUGGAUAUUGUGGUGAGGUUUCACGGUGGUGAGAUGAAAAAAUGAAAGAGAACCGACAUAGCUUUUCGUGUCGUUUCCCACAGACAGCGCCAAAUGUUGAUGCACAAAAUUGGAGGGUCUUUGAACAACGUAAAUCCGACCGUGAAUCUACAAGAAAGUAAAGAACACAAGAUGUAUCGUGGUUCACCCCAAUGUUUGGGCUACGUCCACACUGAUGUUGAUUGUAUUUCUCUGUAACUGUAUGUAUGGAUUACAAGUGUGAGAGGGAGUCCCCCAGAGAAAGGGAGAGUUUGAGAGAGCUUUGCUCUGAAUGUGAGAGCCUCUGUUUGGGGAUGUGAGGCUUGAGGAUUGUGAGGGUAAGGAGUCAUUUUUAUAGACUAAUGGCUCAUCACUUAUUACAUAUUUGCCCCUUCAUUUAUUACAUAAUUACACUUGAGUUCUCCGAGUAUUUAUACGAGGUUUAAAUACGGAGGCCUUAAGUAUGAUACAAACAGGAUUGAUGAGUAAAGUCUUCAGUGGUACACAAUUACCGACACAAUAACCCUGCUUCAGGGCCACAAACUUGUUUUCGAAUCGAGAUUUUCCUUAGCAGUAAGGUUCUUUGUAUAAGUUUAGAGGUGGUCGCCGAAAUGUUUUUGUAGAACAUCGAUAAGUCGUCUAAAAUGCCCAAAACUUAGGAAAAGUUAACACAUUUUUCGUAUUCAACGAGGUGGCAAGAUUUGACACUUAGGUUCAAGAACCAAGAAUGCUUACAUCACGUUUGUGAUGAAUGCAAUACUGCCCAAACUUAUGCUUUGAUACCAAACUGACACACCCCGACCUGGAAUGUCCACCUAGACUCCGAAUCGAGCUAUGCUGGCCGACAUUAUAAGGGUGACGAAGCCAUAAAGUGUAUUGAUGUGGAGAAUGUGAAUAAAUUUAAACCUGAAAGUGCCUAAAUAUAAGAGUGCACUUGUGAGCGAGAAUAAACCCAUUUCACACAUGAUGUCAGAGCAUAAGUAAAGUACAGUAAGAUAGGAUGAGAACCAUACCAUCGAAGGUAAAUACCUAUACCAAGAUUUGCCAAGAAUUCUCGUUGACACAAGGAAGCAGAAAAAUUGAAAAGAAACGUUGACACGAAAGGUCAUAACCUGGUAAAAAAAAAAAGGAGGGGAAAAGCAAAGUGAGUGGCCUAAAAAUAAAGUUUUAUAAAAACCUUUUUGAAAACAUUAUAACCCCUCGCCGUAAAACAAGUAUAGUUUCCAAAAUAUACAUACUACGCUAUAGUACUACGAUCAUGUGAAGACUUGCAAUAUGCGCAUCACAUACGAGUCCUAAUUGCCUAUAGUAAUCUAGGACAUGACUGUCACCUACAAUGGAUCCAAAGUAAGCGUACGGUGCGAUGUGAACAUACAUGUGAAAGAUUGGCCCUGGCCCGGGGGAGUACAAACACUAGUGUAGCACAUGAUGAGCAGAUAUCGUAUAUAUAAUCAUGCAAUGAUAAACGAUAAUUCUAAUCAACAUAAUACUAUUCAUGUCCAUAAAUCUAAUUAAGGCAUACCCUUAUAGUAAACUUACAUGUGCAUCCCAUAGAAUUAUUUUAGAAUUUCCCAACAAUACGACAUUUCUUAUAAAUGUUAUUUAAUCAUGGCAUCACGUAGAAAAUUUAUUAUUAAGAAAAUUUAUUAUUAAGUAUAUAUGAAAACUAAAUAAAUAUAUGUAUACUGUAUAAAAGAAAAGACCCACUCAUAAAUAUUUACAAGAUCGAAACCGUUCGAACUAGGAAAGCCGAAGUCUCCGAUAGUAAUCGCACCUAACCAUAAUAUUAGGAACCAUUAGUAAAACCCUACCAAAACGAUUAAAUUUGAAGAAAUCGACGACAGAUUUGGACUCAGGAUGUCAAAAUAUGCUAAGGAGGGCCUUGGGCAAAUUUUGUAAAGAGUCAACGAAAAGUCAACGGUCAACCCUUAAAAGUCAAUUGAGUCGCCAAGUUAGUCAAUUACGUUAAAACUAUGGAAUUUCACUAAAUGGAUGCCAAAAAUGGACUUGGGGCAUCGAAAUUGGCCUAUGAGGGUUUUCGAGAAAAUUUCGAAAAAGUCAACAUAAGUUAACUAACUAUCAACAACUAACUUUAACGGAAUAUUCCAUCCUCAAAUGGAAUAUUCUAUUAAAGUGAAUUGAAAAUUUAACGGAAUAUUCCCCUGACUAUUCUCUCAAAAUCCCUAAGUGGGUCCGGGUCGGUUGGUUCGGAUCUAGGCUUGGAUCCGAGUUUGGGCUUGGGCUUUUUUUUUUUUCUGAAAUCGGGCCAGGUCAACCCGGUUGCAAGUCUCCAGAUUUCGUCGGAAUCUAGGCAGCGAACUAGAGCUCCAUUCGAACUCAAAACUCAACCAUUUGCAAUGAAAUAAAAACCAAAAUGAAGCUCUUGAAGUAAGGGUUCGAAAUAUACCAAUGAGGGACGAAGCCAUGGCCAGAGUUGGCUGGAGAAAUCUUGCAAAAUCUCGAGUUCCUUGCCGAAAAGUGGGGAGUAUUUCCCCCAAGUUAAUUUCUAUGUAAAAGCUACCCAAAAUUUGCUAGUGAGCUUGAGAUUGAGCUAGAAACUGAAAACUAAGAGAAAAUGGAGAAGUGCAAGUCUUUACCGAGGUCGACAAAGUCCAUAGAUCGUCGAAGGUCGUCGGGGGAGAAAGGUACAGUAGCCACUGUCGAGGUUCGUAAACUUGUUGUCGAUUCUGGGUAUAAAGUGAGGAAGAUGGUGGUGUGAUAAGACAAGGGUGAUGAAGCUCAUCGGAACGAUGAGGUGUGUGGGGGUCUCGGGUUGCCGAUAAUGAAAGAGAGUCCAGAGUUUUAGAGAGAGAGCUAAGAGAGAUGAAUGAAGAGAGAGAGUGUGUUGAGUGGUGAAGGGAGGUGAGGUGGCAACAAGAGAUUCAGUGAAUAAAUAGAGAGAGAAAAAAACCAAGGUUUCUAGAAGGAGGGGAUACGAGACAGGGUAUGAGUGAGGUGUGGGCCCCACGUGGCUCACAAAACAAGCCGCAAAAUACCUCUAAACAUGAAAUUACCAAAUCACCCUUCACGUUCAUAAAAUCAUAAAAUCUCCAUCCUAGCUUCAAAUUUGAUUUCGUUUGUGCUCACGCGUUCGUAUCGUCGUGUACUAUGCAAAUAGGCUAAAAGAAUGAAUCAUACGUCUCUCUAAAUGAUGGUCAACGGAAGUCAAUCCUUGCCUUUGGAGGCAUUUUCGUCCAUUCACUCUUUUAAAAUUAAUAUAAUCGUAAAAUUAGGGCCGAGUUGUCACAGUCUUGAAAAUUGUACUUUAAGGUAAUCAAAACUUUGAAUUUAGAUUUUGCUUUUCAAUAAUUUACUAUUUAAAAGAUUAUUUUAAUAUUCAAUUCGUUAGUGUGAUGUUGAUUUUAGAAAAAAACACAAAAGAAACAAUUGGCGUUGAAUUUAUUAUACUCGUCAAUCAAGUUUUAUUAUUCUUCACUGUCAAUUUUAGACUCUUGACUGCAAACAUUUAAUAGAUUUGCGUUUAAAAACAUGAGACGUGUAAUAUUUGAGUAAUGUUUGUAUAUCUAUCUCCUUUUGAUAUUAAUUUUUAAAUGAUAUUUGAUGUCAAAAUAGAAAUUUUUAUGUAUUUAGCGAAUUAUUUUUUAUGCAUAUCAAUGUAUAAAGAACCGGGGGUCAAAGAACUUUAGGGCCCUACUUCGAAGGCUUGCCUAGGGUGUCAUAUCCCGGCCCGGGCCCCUACCACAUCCUAGCUCAACUCCGCCGUAACACGAUAUUGUCCACCUUAGGCCCCGACCAUGCCCUCACGGUUUUUUUCUAGGAACUCACACGAAAACUUCCUAGUGGGUCACCCAUCCUGGGAUUGCUCUUGUACGAACUUGCUUAACUUUAGAGUUCCGAUGGAACUCGAAGCCAGUGAGCUCCCAAAAAGCCUCGUGCUAGGAAGAGAUGAGAAUAUAAAUAUAAGGCUUAGAUGAUCCACUAUCCUAGAUGAUGUAGGAUGUUACAAUCCACCCCCUUAGGGGUCCGACGUCUUCAUCUGCACACUUCCGACCAGGGAUUGGCUCUGAUACCAAAUUGUCACAUCCCGGCCCGGCCCGGCCCCCUACCAUAUCCCGGGCUCGACUUCGUGGUAGCACGAUAUUGUCCUUUUUAGGCCCCGACCACGCCAUUACAGUUUGUUUAUGGGAACUCACACGAGAACUUCCCAGUGGGUCACCCAUCCUGGGAUUGCUCUUGAUUAAACUCGCGUAACUUCAGAGUUCUGAUGGAACCCGAAGCUAAUGAGCUCCCAAAAGGCCUCGUGUUAGGAAGAAAUGGGAAUAUACAUAUAAGGCUAAGAUGAUCCACUCCCCUAGGCGAUGUGGGAUUGAUAGGAGCAUAUUUAUGCGACUUCGUUAGCUUGUUUCUUGGCAUUUAUUUAGUUAGUUUGUACUUAUUAUAGUGAUUUAAGCUAUUUUCGUGUGUUUGUAGGUUCAAAUGACAAAGUUGGCAAAAUGCAUUUUGGUGCAGUUUUGGGUUGAAUUAGAGUGCAUGCAUGUGGAGCAAGUUGGAUGGACGUUUUUGGUGCUUAAAUGAGGCUAGGAACAUGCUACAAAUCUGGAGAAACAAAUGCAAGUUGCAAGAAUGGUUGGUGCACUCACCUAACCUACCAUAAAUUGAAUGGAUGGUGCACUCACCCAAGCUACCUACCAGAAAGUGAAUGAAUGGUGCACUCACCUAACCUACCAGAAAAUGAAUGGACGGUGCACUCACCUAACCUACCAGAAAUUGAAUGGAAUGUGCACUCACCUAACUCACCUAAUCCAUCAUCUCCCUAUAAAUACCCAUUGUCGUGCAUCUCAAGGGGAAGAGACCCAUCCACCACCACAAUUCACCACUCAUCCAUCAUCACAACCCAAUCUAUGCCGCAACCUUGGAGAAGAAGAUACUCUUGCCGUGCAUUCCAUUGGAGAAUGAGGAACUUGUGCAUAUGCCACCUGCAUCCUUGAAGAGUUCUUUCUUCCCUCAUUUUAGUUUCAAUAUUUAUUUCAGUUUGUAUUUCAAUUGCUGUGAACAUGUGUAACUAAGUUUUUCUUAGUUGGAGAUGAAUUCGAAGCCAUGAACAUAUUUGCAAUAUGAAUUGAUUAAUUCCAGUUGUGAUUUCAUAAAGUGUGGAUGCAAUUUUCUUAACUGUUUUAUUCAAAACUGAUUCUUGUAUGUUGAUUAAGGAUGCAUACUUAGUUUUCAUGCAUGAAUUUGAUGCUAGAAUAUAAAGGAGUUUCACAUAAUCGUUACAAACUUAUUUUCACAAGUAGUGAAGGUUGCUAGUCACAAUCGCGUUAAUUGAAUUCUUGGCAAACGUAUCAUGCAUUCAUAGUUACAAAUGUCUCGUCAACACUUAUGAUUUUCAUGAAACGUAAUGAUCUCUGAUUGUAUCUCUAUUAUGCAUUCAUGUAGGGGACCUUUGGAGAAUGAUUUGGGUUGUCGCCAGGGGCGGAUCCACAGUGGGGUCAAUGGGGUCACACGACCCCUUGGAAGCCAUGGAAAUAACCUUGGAGCUGCUGGUGCGACCUCUUAGAGCUGCACACCACGUGGUCGACGAAAUGUCUGAAAGAAGAAGAAAGAGUUCGCUUGUAGGUUGAAGAAGAAUGAGGCUUCUGGCGUUGAUAGCCUCCUCGAACUUUGAGAGAAAACUCGCAGCCUCCGGUCUCGACCGAGCAAUAAGCAAAAUGCCGAAGCAGAUCCAUGAGAUCAAGGAUUUCCUUCUAACUGCAAGAAGGAAGGAUGCCCGCAAUGUCAAAAUCAAGAGGACCAAGGAUGCUGUCAAGUUCAAGGUUCGGUGCUCCAAGUACCUUUACACACUUUGUGUGUUUGAUUCCGAGAAGGCCGAAAAGUUGAAGCAAUCUUUCCUUCGGGUUUGAACGUUCAGGACCUUUGAACAAGGAUUUUGGAGUAGCUGGUCACGCUAUCCUACCAAGACUCGAUGAAAUGAUGAUAUGCAUGUCGUUUCUGUUAAAAAAAUUCACGCGCUGCGCACUAUCCUUAUUGACCCCCUAACAUUAUUUCCUGGAUCCGCCACUGGUUGUCGCAUGCAUUCAUCCAAUUCAAUGAGUAAAGGAAAAUCUGAGGGUUAAUUAGUGCAUCAUGGUUAAUCUGGGGUGUUGAGAUUCAUAAUUUAUUGAAAAGCAAUUGGAGAUUGAUUUGUAUGCAAGUGUGUCAUGUGUGGAGAAAGACCCUCUAGCUAGCCCAUAAUCCAUUCAAAUCACCAAAUUCAUACCAAACUUUAUCUAGUUUAGUUUCUGUCUUGUUUUAGUUCAAAUUCAUCAAAACCAAACCCCCCCUUUGUUUUAAGUGUUAAUUAGGUUAGAAUCCGUUUUAGUUUGUGUUUUUAAGUGUUUUGAGUCAAGGUAAAACCAAUUUUCGUCCAAAUUCAUUCCUAGUGUCUAGUUUGAGUCUAUUUAGUUGUUUUAAACUGUUUUGAGUCAUUAGAGUCUAAUUAAGUGUUUUUAAGUUUAUUUUUGUGUUUUUGAGUCAGUUUAGAGCAGAUUAGCAAUCCCUCCUAAUCCCCGGUUUAGAACGAUCCAUACUUAUCCAUACUAUAAUUGUCAACAAGAAUUUGUGUGUUAAGUUAAUUUAUGCAUCAGGGAUGUUACAUAGGGCCCCCAAAUUCUAAAGGCUGGUCUUGUCACCAUCCAUACAAAAAAUAAACUAAAUAGAGUAAAACGAAUUUCUAAAGUUUCAACCAAGCAAAGUUGAAAUUAAAUGACAAGACAAUACCAUCAUUUCAACCAAAGGAAACACAAAAGCAACACUAUCGUUAUUGUUCAAAUAAAAGCCAAACAACAAACUUCAAGUAUACCCCUCUCAAACUUGUAUUUAGAUUCCAAUAAAUAAUGUAAAAUUACUAAAUCGACCCUAUGAAACUUGUGUUUCAUGUAACUCAUAGGAAGAUAUGGUUUUGGAAGUGGGCAAAAAGAAAAAUUGGAAGAAUUGUAGGAGAAAAGCUAAUUGUGUGGAUGUUUGAACAAAUACAUAGGUAUUUAUAGACUUUUUGGGUAAACUUUGAUUUAAACAUUUUUAUUAAUUGUUAUAGUCGUUGGAUUUAACUUUGAGUCGUUAGAUUCAUUUAUUUAUUUUUAACCAUUAGAUUUGAUCAUAUUCGAUCUCAGCCGUUAGAUAUAAUGUAUUUAUAAAUUAAAAAUUAAAUAAGUUUGAAUUUGGACCGUUGGCCAUUGGUCCAAUAGUACAAAUCGUCUGAUUGAAAAAAGAGCUGUUUCGCUUGUUUAUUGUCGUCGACAACCUCGUAUGGUAGGGCCAUUUACUGUCAGCGGCCCCUGAGUUCGGCGUGUAGCCUUGCUGCGUUUCCCUUUUCUCUUAGCGUGUCCAUGCACACUAUGGGCUAGACUGUCACAGCCCGUCUCAAAUAUAUAAUUAUCGACGGCGUGAAUUGAUGAAAAUACCCUUGGACGUUAGUUGUGUAAUGUGGUUUAAGUGUGGUUUUGGGUCAAUAUUCUUAAAUCCUAAUUGUUUAGAACCAAUUAGGAUUAAGUUAUGGUAUUUUUGGUGGUUGACCAAUCCUAGGCCACACACAUACACUCUCUCUCUUUUCUCUCCCGUACCCUCUCAUCUCUCUCGGACUCUCACUCUCUCUCUCCUUCUAAAUCGUACGAACAAUCACCCAAAACCCUUGAAACUUCACGGAUCGUGGUCAAAGUUGGCACCAUUGUGUUCGUGAAACUCAGACGAGUCAAUUGGUACCCAUUUCAGGUAAGGAUACCUUUGGAAACCCUAGUUUUUCAUAACCCCCGAUUUGUGCACUGUUUAUGCACACGUAAAUAUGGAUGUUUUUGGGAAUUUGAAGCUUGUAUGAAGCUUAGUGAGGUCCUAAGGAAGCUCGGAGUGCUUCGUUUGAAGGUUUUGGAUGUCAGGAUCGUGCGGACGAAGAUUGGCCGGUUUUCUUGGAAUUCUCCGGUGAGAUCCCGUGACUUUUAGAACUUUAAAUUAGUAUGAUUGUGUUAUACUAGUUAAGAGUUUCAUUUUGGUAUAAAUUACGUGAAAAAUGGUGCAAAAAUGAGCGAGAAAUAGGCAAUUGCAAGUCUGCCCAGAAUCCAGCGCCGAUGGCACUAUUCCGACGUUUGGAGGUUGAAGGUGAUGCGCGUGAGGGCGCGUGAGGCCAUGCCCUCCCUGGAGCGUGAGGGCGCGUGAGCCACAGAAAAAUUAUUCUAAAAAUAUCACGAUGUUCGUGAGGUUGUGUAGGUCACGUUGGUAUAUUCAAAUACCAAAAUUGAGCUUUGUAUGAGAAGUUAUUAGCUAGUUUUGUAUAUGUGCUUUAAAAUAACGUUUUUAUAGUUAAUUUGCAUAUAGGUGAGACUUAUCCCGACGAUGAGCGUAUCCACGGACAACUCGAGGGUUACGACCCGUUGACAUACCAGUGAGUAGGCUUUUGUUUUCAGUAUAUAUUUAUAUACUUGAUAUAUUUCCCAGAAAUGCAUUUUUAAGGAAUGUAUGCUUUGAAAUAAUAUGCCAAAUACUUUUAUAUUCUAAAUAUGCAUUUAAUGGCUGCAUAUAUAUAUAAAUGUGGUGCUGUGGAGGCACUGGUAAGUUCAGGUAAGUUAUGUUUGAUUAUGUGAAUCAUCGAUGAUGUGAUAUGUGAUUGAAUAAUGUUGAGCUCAUAAAACUGCACCUAGGGUGAUUGUGAUUUAGCCAGAGAUAUGAAAUACAUGCCUGCUUAUUUACGUCACCUCCCGCACUAUAUGCUUGUAUUGGAUCCAACUUAAGUGCACAGUCUUGUCGUACAUACCUUAUUUAUGGUUCCGACUUGUAGGUGACUAGCGAUUCAUUGCCCGACUAUUAUGAGAGAAUAGAAUUGAGCAUAACUAUAUUACACCCAAUCUUGUCGUACAUACCCCUUUUUAGUGGUUCCGACUUAUGUGCAGUAUAUUGCCAUGUAGGUCAUUAUUGUGACUCCAGCUAGAUUGACUUUUGAGCAAAUUCAGCCGUAUAGACUACCACAGGGGUUCCGGCUAACAUAUCAUAUUUCUAUGAAAUCAUUCUUACCUGGAUUGUUUACUCUGUUAUAUUUUGGCAUGGCAUACACAUGAAUAUGAUUAUGUGAAGCAUGAAUUGAAUUGUUAUGAUUUCAUAUAUAUAUAUAUAUAUAUAUAUAUAUAUAUAUAUAUAUAUAUAUAUAUGUAUAUACUUAUAUCUUGAUUCUGGGAAAAUUAUACAUGUUUUAUAGCGAGUGGUUAGUAUAUUAAUAAAUGAAAUGAUUUUGUAAAGCAUUUGUUUUUUCCCACUUACGUUUUCUGUUUUGCGCCCCUCCAGGUUUUAAGUAAGCUUGCUGUUGGUGGCUCGAGGACGUCGGCUGUUCUGACUUAUCUAAAUAAUAGUAGGACAUUCUUGGUACUGUAUAACUAGUACUUGUCCUACUGGACUGCACCUAGACUUUUAUGCUCUGAAUAUGAGUGUUUACUGUUGUAACUAACUCCUAUCACUUUCUGUUUAGUAGUGCACUCUAGUAAUUUGGUUUUUGAUUAUUCGUAUAUUUCUUAUCUUUUUCGCUUCCGCACUGUACACAUGGCCACAUCAUUCUCACGUGACGGCCAGCAUGCCUUGAUCUUGGUUAGGGUGUGUCAGUUUGGUAUCAGAGCCUAGGUUUAGUAGUCCUAUAUAAUUCUUGAAUGUUCUAAUCCUUAUGAUGUCUUAUGUCAGAAUUAUGCCGCCUCAUAGAGAGCCCCGUCAAUCAGCUGAAUCGAGUUUCCUUGAUAUUGCUCAAUUAGGGAAAGUUAUAGUUUCUGCCAUUCAGACAGCAUUCCGUACUCCCCAGAUGACACCUCUUGAGAGAGUUCAUAAUCUGAAGUUGACUCACUUCAUUGGAAAUGAAGGUCAUGAAGGGGCAGAAAAAUGGCUGAAUCAUGUUGAGAAGACCUUUCAGGUGAUGUAGAGUCAGAUGAGUCUUUCUUCUGAUAAGUGGGUCGAGACGACUACCUGGUUUUUGGGAGAACAGCCUGCAUCUUGGUGGAGAUAGGAGUCUUACCAGUUGACCCUAGCAGAGAUUUUGGACUAGAGGGUGUUUAAGGAGCUGUUUCGGAAAAGGUUCAUUCCUCCUGCGUAUAUCGAUAGUAAGAAACAUGAGUUUACUCAUCUGAGGCAAGGAAAGAUGUCCGCUAAUGAGUAUUACAGGAUGUCUACUGAUCUGUCGGGAUAUGAUCCGGAGGUUGCUGCUAAUCCGAUAAAGAUGCUUCACCGUUUCAGUUUGGGUACUAAGAAGAAAUAGUGUUCUAUAAUGACAUCGACUCACUGUGCCUCUUACCAGGAGUUUUAUGAGAUUCUACUGAGGAUUGAGGCCUCAGAGAACAUGCCUAGAGAAAGUGAGGAUGAGGAAGGAAAGAAUGGGGGCCAGAGACGAGAUGACAAAGGAAAAGGGCAAGCAUUUCAGGGACUCUGCAAGACUCAGAACUUGAAGAGGAGUGGUGGCAGUUCCAGCUCUUCUAGUGGGGGAUUGAGUACUAAUAUGUUGAGGAGAGGUGGUAGAUUCACUAGAGGCCUUAGGUUCCAGAGGUAGAGAGAUUUUGGUGGUUCAGGUGGAUCUGGUGCUCCUUUAUGCCGCAGGUGUAAUAAUCGGCAUUUUGGGGAGUGUAGGAGAGGCAGUAUUGGAUGUUUUACUUGCGGUCAGAUGGGUCAUAGGGCUGCCCAAUGCCCUUAGAGUCAGCAGAGACCCCAUCAGCCUUCGUUCCCACCACAUGCACCUACCCAGCACGCUUCAAGAUCUAGUGGUUACACUCAGACUAGACAAGGAGGUGCCUACCACUAUCAAGGCGACGCCGCUCCCUACACCUCAGGACAACAGCAGUACUCUCAGGAUCCUCAAUAUCAGAGUGGGUACCCUCAGUAUUAGGGAGGAUCUAUGUCUUAUCAGCCACAUUCAGCCGGAGGAUCUCAGUGGUACCAAGGGGGACAGCCCCAGCAGGGAGAGAUUACUGCUAGUAGUGCAGGAUCUUCGAGGCAGUCGGGUCAGCAGAGGCAGGGAUGUGGUGUUCAUGCUAACAGAGGUCGCAGUGGACGACAGCAAAACCAGGCACGUAUCCAUAACAUGUCACUGCAAGAUGCCCAGAAUAAUCCAGAUUUAAUCAUGGGUACGUUAAAUAUUCUUGGUCAUUUUGCUAGAGUAUUGAUUGAUUGUGGUGCUACACAUUCUGUUAUUUCUCAUACAUUUGCUCAAGUGACAUAACCUCAUCUUACACCUCUAGGAUAUAAUUUAGAAUUUUCUAUGCCUAGAGGGGAUAGAUGUUUUAUGGAUCGGGUAUAUCCAGGAUGUCCAGUGAUAGCAGAAGAGAUUAUUAUGCCGGCUAAUCUUAUGCCGUUGGAUAUUAUGGAUUUUGAUGUGAUUUUAGGCACUGAUUGGUUGCACUGUAAUUGUGCUAAGAUAGAUUGUUAUGGGAACACAGUCACAUUUCAUUGUUCUGGAUUACCUGAAGUUACAUUUGUGGGAGAGCCUAGUUGAUGCGAAAAUUAACUUAACACACAAAUUAAACCCACUUGUAUCAAUUGUAGUAAAGAAUGUAAGUAGGGAUCGUUCUGGACCGGGAAUUAUGAGGGCUUGCUAAUAACCUCUAAACUGACUUAAAAACAUAAAAUUAAGUUUAAAACACCAAACUAGACUCAAAAGAUGCAAUACAAACUAAAAAGACUCAAAACUAGUUUAAAAGACUCAAAACAGCUUAAAACAAUGAAUUAGACUCUAAACUGACUCUAGGGAUGGUUUUGGACGAAAUUAGGUUCUAACUUGACUCAAGACACUUAAAAACACAAAUCAAAAUAGAUUUUGACUAAUAAAACACUUUAAAGUAAAGGGAGAUUUGAUUUUGAUGAAUUUGAAAACAAAACAAACAGAUUGUAAACUAAAACAGAUUUUGGACGAAUUUGGGUAAACUAUGGAUGAUGGGCUACCUAGAGGGUUCUUCUCCACACAUGACACACUUGCACAUAAACCAAUUUUCAGUUGUUCUUUCGAUAAAUCAUGAAACUCAACACCCCAGGUUAAUUAAGUCGGCUUAAAUUAACCUUCAAGUUCUCAUUAAGUUAUUGAAUUGGAUGGGGAAGCGCAUACAACAAUUCAAGCAUUCUUCAAAAGUCCUUUUCGUGAACAUCACAAUCAAGAUACAAUCAAAGAUCAUUAAGCAUUAUGAAAACUAUAAGUAUUGACGAGGCAUUCGUUACUAUGAUGAGCAUGAAACUCCUACCAAAAUUCAUUUAACGCGAUCGUUUAUAAGCGACCUCCACUACUUGUGAAUAUAAGUUUGUAACUAUUAGGUGAAACUCCCUUAUACUCUAGCAUCAUAUUCAUGCAUGCAAACUAAGUGUGCACUCUUAAUAAACAUACACGAAUAAGUUAUCAAUUAAGCAGUUAAACAAAUUGAAUUCACAACUUAUAAAAUCACAACUGAAGGUAAUCAAUUCAUAUUGCAAGUAUGUUCAUGGCUUUGAAUUCCCCCCUAGCUAAGGGGAGUUUAGUUCCUCAUACUCACAAAGCAAGGAUAAACAAAUUUAGACAUUGAAAACAAAAGAAUGAAAACACCUAAAAACGCUCCAACAAUCCAACUUGAAUGGCAAGCACGUCCAAGGGUCAUCCUCCUUCUCUUUGUUGCGGCACAAGGUGUGGUUUGAUGGAUGCAUAUGGAUAUAUGGAAGGGAAUGGCUGAAUGUGUUUAGGUUGGAUGGAGGUCACGGCAAGGAAAGGGAAAUGAAGGUGCAUGGAAUUGUGUAGAAUGGUUAAGAAGAAAAGACUCUGCCUUGCAGCAGAAUGUGUCUUCCUCCAUUCUCCCUAAACUUUCCCUCCUAGAUGUGUCUUUGGAUGGAUAUAUUUAUAGGCUAGGGAGAGGAUGUAGUGGUAGGUGAAUGGAUAUGUUGGGUGAAAUGAGUGAAUGUAGUGGUAGGUGAAUGUGUUAGGUGGUUGUAAUGAGUGGAUGUGUUGGGUGAAAUGAGUGGAUGUAGUGGUAGGUGAAUGGAUGUGUUAGAUGAAAUGAGUGGAUGUAGUGGUGGGUGAAUGUGUUGGGUGGUUGUAAUGAGUGGAUGUGUUGGGUGAAAUGAGUGUGCUAAAAUGGUUAUUUAUAGGGAGAGGAUGAUGCACAAACUUCAAAUUUCGUCCAUUCCUUUUGCUCCAAGUAUAUGUUAUCCAUUCCAUGCCCAAAAAUGCUCCAAAAUGCACUUCUUUGCCACAUUAACCCUUUGGACCUACAAACACACGAAAAUAGCUUAAAAUACUAAAAUAACUACAAACUAACAACAUAAAUGCCAAGAAACAAGCUAACUAAGUCGCAUAAAUAUGCUCCUAUCACUAGUGGGGUAAGGCAUGGUAUUAUUUCAGCCAUGAAAGUAAAGAGAUUGUUGUCGAAAGGUUGUCAGGGAUAUUUGGCUCAUGUGGUGUUAAAUGAUAAUCCUAGUAGUGUGGAGGAUGUUCUGGUGGUCAGAUAUUUUCCAGAUGUAUUCCCCGAGGAUUUGCCUAGAUUGCUGCCAGAUAGAGAGGUGGAGUUUGUUAUUGAUCUACUUCCAGGUAUGAAUCCCAUAUCCUUAACUCCUUAUAGAAUGGCUCCUGCUAAAUUAAGGGAAUUGAAAGUCCAGUUGCAAGAGUUAGUGGAUAAAGGUUUUAUUCAGUCGAGUACUUUACCUUGGGGAGCUCCAGUUUUAUUUGUGAGGAAGAAAGAUGGAACUUUGAGGCUGUGCAUUGAUUACAAGCAAUUGAAUCGGGUAACCAUUAAAAAUCGUUAUCCAUUGCCUCGUAUAAAUGAUUUAUUUGAUCAACUCAAAGGUGCCUGCGUAUUUUCUAAGAUCAACUUGAGGUCGGGAUACUAUCAGUUGAAGAUUAAAAAUGAAGAUGUCCCGCAAACCGCAUUCAGGACUCGAUAUGGUCAUUAUGAGUUUCUUGUGAUGCCAUUCGGGUUAACUAAUGCAUCAGUAGCUUUUAUGGAUUUGAUGAAUCGAAUAUUCCAGCCAUAUUUGGACAGGUUUGUUAUUGUCUUCAUUGAUGAUAUUCUGGUAUACUCUAAGUCUAAGGCUGAGCAUGCUAGACAUCUGAAGUUGGUGUUAAGCAGUUUGAGGGAACACCAACUAUAUGCCAAGUUUAGCAAAUGUGAAUUUUGGUUGAAUCAAGUGGCAUUUUUGGGACAUGUCAUUUCUGCUCAAGGCAUUCAAGUGGAUUCUCAGAAAGUGGCAGCUGUAAAGAAUUGGGAACAACCUCGAACCGUCACCGAGGUACGGAGUUUUCUUGGCUUAGCAGGUUAUUAUAGACGGUUCGUUAAGGAUUUUUCAGUGAUUGCUUUGCCAUUGAUGAGGUUGACUCGAAAGGAUGUUAAGUUUUAAUGGGAUAAUAAAUGUGAGCAAAGUUUCUAGCAGUUGAAGUACUAUCUUAUUCAUGCUCUUAUUCUAGCGCUUCCAGAUGAUAGCGGUAAUUAUAAAGUUUAUAGUGAUGCUUCUCUGAAUGGUUUGGGUUUUGUAUUAAUGCAACAUGGUAGGGUGAUUGCUUAUGCUUCGAGACAGUUGAAACCUCAUGAGAAGAAUUACCCUACACAUGAUUUGGAAUUAGCAACUAUCAUCUUUGUUUUGAAUAUUUGGAGACAUUAUCUUUAUGGUGAGAAAUGUAAGAUUUUCACAUAUCAUAAGAGUCUUCAGUAUUUGUUUACUCAGAAAGAUCUUAAUCUUCGUCAGCGGAGAUGGAUUGAGUUACUUAGUGACUAUGAUUGCACAAUUGAGUAUCAUCCUGGUCGUGCAAAUGCAGUGGCGGAUGCAUGUGGUAGAAAGACUCCAGCCAGACUCAAUGCCAUCUAUGAUUGUCAUGUUCCUCUUCUAGCAAAUUUGAGAUCCACUGGAGUAGAGUUGGGAGUGGAAGAUCAAGAAAAAGCCUUGCUUGCUAAUUUUCAAGUUAGGCCAAUUUUAGUUGACCUUGUACUUAAGGCUCAGAUGAUUGAUGAAGAGACCCAGGAAAUAAUUCAAGUAAGAAAUCAAGGAAGAAAGAAAAUUUCGGGAUUCGAGAAUCUGAUGUUAUGCUUAUGCAGGAAAGCAGGAUGUAUGUGCCGAAUAAUGUAGAAUUAAAGAAAGAAAUUUUGGAUGAAGCACAUAUUUCGGCAUAUGCGAUGCAUCGAGGAGGCACUAAGAUGUAUCAUACCAUUAGACCAUUUUAUUAUUGGCCGGGUAUGAAAAGAGAAAUUGCCGAAUAUGUGAGUAGGUGUGCCAUUUACCAACAGUUUAAAGCUGAAAGGAAGAAGCCAUUUGGGUUGAUGCAGCCACUUCCCGUUCCACAGUGGAAAUGGGAAAAUAUUACUAUGGAUUUUGUGUACAAGCUCCCUCGUACAUAGAAUGGUUAUGACGACAUUUGGGUGGUAGUUGAUCGACUUACGAAGUCAGCACAUUUUAUUCUAGUAAGGGAGAAGUAUUCGUUAAGCCGAUUAGCUAAGUUAUUUAUAUCACAGAUUGUGAAGUAUGGUGUGCCAGUUAAUAUUAUCUCGGAUCGGGAUCCCAGAUUUACUUCCAAGUUCUGGAUAGUAUUCCAGGAAGCUCUUGGUACGAGAUUGCUUUAUAGUACGAGAUUGCUUUAUAGUACGGCAUAUCAUCCUCAGACAUACGGACAAUCUAAGAGGACCAUUCAGACAUUAGAGGAUAUGUUGAGAUCUUCCGUGCUGUAGUUUGGAGAUAGUUGGCAUGAUUGUUUGGAUUUGAUGGAGUUCGCCUACAACAAUAGUUAUCAUUCGAGUAUUGGUAUGGUACCAUUUAAGGCACUUUAUGGGAAAUCUUGUCGUACGCCUCUAUGUUGGUCAGGGGUUGGCGAAAGAGUUUUAGUGGGCCCUGAGAUUGUGGAUGUGACUACUCAAAAUGUUCAGGUAAUUAAGUCUAACCUGAAAGCGGCCCAAGAUCGACAAAAGAGCUUAGCAGAAAAACAUGCCACUGAUCGGAAGUAUGAUGUAGGUGAUUGGGUAUUUCUGAAGCUAUCACCUUGGAAAGGUGAUGUACGAUUUGGAAAGAAAGGAAAGUUGAGUCUUAGGUUCAAUGGACCAUAUAUGAUCGCCGAGCGAGUCGGUGAGGUUGCUUAUAGGCUUGAGUUGCCUCUAGAGUUAUCAAAAGUGCACAAUGUAUUUCAUGUUUCGAUGCUUCGACAUUAUGUUUCAGAUCAUUCACAUAUGAUUCCUUCUCAACCUUUGGAAAUUAAUCCGAAUUUGAGUUAUGAUGAGGAGCCAAUGACUCUGUUGGAUUGGAAGGACAAAGAACUGAGGAACAAGAUUGUGCGCUUAGUGAAAGUACUAUGGAGAAAUCAUUCAGUGGAAGAAGCUAAUUGGGAGACAGAUGAUCGGAUGAGAGAGAUGUAUCCAUGCUUGUUUUAUGAUUGCUAGUGGAUGUAUUUGUUAUGUAUAAUUUCGAGGACAAAAUUUUUUAAGGUGGGGAGAUUGUCAUAGCCUGUCCCAAAUAUAUAAUUAUCGAUGGCGUGAAUUGACGAAAAUACCCUUGGACGUUAGUUGUGUAAUGUGGUUUAUGUGUGGUUUUGGGUCAAUAUUCUUAAAUCCUAAUUGUUUAGAACCAAUUAGGAUUAAGUUAUGGUAUUUUUGAUGGUUAACCAAUCCUAGGCCACACACACGCACUCUCUCUCUUCUUUCUCCCGUACCCUCUCAUCUCUCUCGGACUCUCACUCUCUCUCUCCUUCUAAAUCGUACGGACAAUCACCCAAAACCCUUGAAACUUCACGGAUCGUGGUCAAAGUUGGCACCAUUGUGUUCGUGAAGCUCAGACGAGUCGAUUGGUACCUAUUUCAGGUAAGGAUACCUUCGAAAACCCUAGAUUUUCAUAACCCCCGAUUUGUGCACUGUUCAUGCACACGUGAUUAUGGAUGUUUUUGGGAAUUUGAAGCUUGUAGGAAGCUUAGUGAGGUCCUAAGGAAGCUCGGAGUGCUUCGUUUGAAGGUUUUGGACGUCGGGAUCGUGCGGACGAAGUUUGGCCGGUUUUCAUGGAAUUCUCCGGUGAGAUCCCGUGACAUUUAGAACUUUAAAUUAGUAUGAUUGUGUUCUACUAGUUAAAAGCUUCAUUUUGGUAUAAAUUAGUGAAAAAUGGUGCAAAAAUAAGCGAGAAAUAGGCAGUUGCAGGUCUGCCCAGAAUCUGGCGCCGAUGGCAUUAUUCCGGUGUCUGGAGGUUGAAGGUGAUGCGCAUGAGGGCGCGUGAGGCCAUGCCUUCCCCGGUGCGUAAGGGCGCGUGAGCCACAAAAAAAUUAUUCUAAAAAUAUCACGAUGUUCGUGAGGUUGCGUAGGUCAUGUUGGUAUAUUCAAAUACCGAAAUUGAGCUUUGUAUGAGAAGUUAUUAGCUAGUUUUGUAUAUGUGCUUUAAAAUAACGUUUUUAUAGUUAAUUUGCAUAUAUUUGAGACUUAUCCCGAGGACGAGCGUAUCCACGGGCGACUCGGGGGUUACGAUCCGUUGACAUACUAGUGAGUGGGCUUUUGGUUUCAGUAUAUAUUUAUAUACUUGAUAUAUUUCCCAGAAAUGCAUUUUUAAGGAAUGUAUGCUUUGAAAUAAUAUGCCAAAUACUUUUAUAUUAUGAAUAUGCAUUUCAUGGCUGCAUAUAUAUAUAUAAAUGUGGUGCUGUGAAGGCACUGGUAAGUUCAGGUAAGUUAUGUUUGAUUAUGUGAAUCAUCGAUGAUGUGAUAUGUGAUUGAAUAAUGUUGAGCUCAUAAAACUGCACCUAGGGUGAUUGUGAUUUAGCCAGAGAUAUGAAGUACAUGCUUGUUUAUUUACGUCACCUCCCGCACUAUAUGCUCAUAUUGGAUCCAACUUAAGUGCACAGUCUUGUCGUACAGACCUUAUUUAUGGUUCCGACUUGUAGGUGACUAGCGAUUCAUCGCCCAGCUAUUAUGAGAGAAUAGAAUUGAGCAUAACUAUAUUACACCCAAUCUUGUCAUACAAACCCCUUUUUAGUGAUUCCGACUUAUGUGCAGUAUAUUGCCGUAUGUGUCAUUAUUAUGACUCCGGCUAGAUUGACUUUUGAGCUAUGAAUUCAGCCGUACAGACUACCACAGGGGUUCCGGCUAACAUAUCAUAUUUCUAUGAAAUCAUUCUUACCUGGAUUGUUUACUUUGUUAUAUUUUGGCACGGCAUGCACAUGAAUAUGAUUAUGUGAAGCAUGAAUUGAAUUGUUAUGAUUUCAAAUAUAUAUAUAUAUAUAUAUAUAUAUAUAUAUGUAUGUAUGUAUAUAUAUACUUAUAUCUUGAUUCUAGGAAAAUUAUACAUGUUUUGCAGCGAUGGGUUAGUAUAUUAAUAAAUGAAAUGAUUUUGUAAAGCAUUUGUUUUUGCCCACUCACGUUUUCUGUUUUGCGCCCCUCCAGGUUUUAAGUGAGCUUGCUGUUGGUGGCUCGAGGACGUCGGCUGUUCUAACUUAUCUAAAUAAUAGUAGGACAUUCCUAGUAUUGUAUAACUAGUACUUGUCCUACUGGACUGCACCUAGACUUUUAUGCUCUGAAUAAGAGUGUUUACUGUUGUAAUUAACUCAUAUCACUUUCUGUUUAGUAGUGCACUCUAGUAAUUUGGUUUUUGAUUAUUUGUAUAUUUCUUAUCUUUUUCGCUUUCGCACUGUGCACAUGGCUACGUCACUCUCACGUGACGGCCAUCAUGCCUUGAUCUCGGUCGGGGUGUGUCAUAGCCCCAUUAAUCCAGGCCUAAGUCUUGACAAGUAUUUGCCCAAAAAUGUUUAACCCAAUACUAAUCUUAGGCCCAACCGUAGGAGAAAGUUUUGGGGGUUUGAAACCUAAAUUUUAGGUUUUAACAUAAGGAUUGGAUGGUCUUAUAUGGUUAUACCUAACAGAAAAAUAAAAAUAUAGAUAAAAAAGAUAAUUAAAAUUGAAAAUUAAAAAACAGAAAGAAAAACAAUUACAACUUAAAAGUUAAAAAAUUUUGAAAUUUUUUAUUUUUGACUGACUAAAAGGUAAGGGUACAACUCGAGCAGGUUCGGUGGGUUAGAUGGUCAACCCAAUCCUAAUCCAACAUUUCUAAUUCAGAUUUGGUUCAUGCGGGUUUAUUCGGGUUCAGGCUUACUGGAGUUGGUUUCAGGUUCGCCCAACUUUAUCAAAGUCAAUCUUGUAACACAUUAUUUUAUAAGAUAAAUCUCAAAUUUAGAAAUUCGUUUCAACCAAGCAAAGUUGAAAUUAAAUGGCAAGACAGUACCACCAUUUCAACCAAAAGAAACGUAAAAGUAGCCCUAUCAUUAUUGUUCGAAUAAAAGUCAUACAAUAAACUUCAAGUCUAGCCUCCCAAACUUGUAUCUAGCUUAUAUAUUAUGAAGUGGGACAGGUAAUAUAUGCAUGAGCAAGUCAGGCUAGAAAUUAGAUUGAGCUUGGGAUUGACAUGGACAGGCAAACCAUGAACCCAACGCAACCUAAUAAACAUUCGGACUAAGGACAUAUUAGAUUUGAAUGGAUUUUUACUUCAUUCUAACAUUCUUGAUUGAAUUUGAAAUAAAAUUGCACAUGGACAAAUUUGGGUUAAUCCACCCAAAGUGCAUCCCUCCUAAGAGUAGUUCUACCAGGGAACCUUUAGGCUGGCACCCAGCCAAAUUAUUGGCCUGGCACCCAGCUAAAUUAUUGGCCUGGCACCCAGCCCAAGUUGGUUUCUAGGCCGGCUCAGAAUGUGUUGAGCCCUUGCCCGGCCUACAUGAUGCCAGGCGAUACCAUGCCUCCUCCGCUUGCACUCCACGACCAUGCAGACCAUAUGCACUAGGCACUAAUGUGCCCGCCAAUCCAAGUCCUCAAAGGCAUAGAAGGCUCAUCUUUCCAGCUCAGUGACAGCACCCCGAUGACAAUUCCCAAGAGCUCAACGUUCCACAAUAGGUCCGACAAGAUAAUCGGCCGGGAGUAGGCCUAGUCACUUUGGCGAUCCUUUACCUACUCCGUCGCGGCCUCACGGACUCCAACCGACAGCUCUAGCAACAUCAUUCAGCGGCUGCUUGGGCUUCACAAGAACCGAGCUACUCCACGUAGAGGAUGCGGUGGCUGACGUAUUAAGUUUUCGGCUUCGAACGAUGUUGUCGGUGAUGGAGUGGCCUAAAAGCGGCGACGAGGCGUCGGAGGGAGAUGCUUAAUACUGGUUUGAGCUCAACAUAUUUUUCAAAAUUUUUUUUUCAAUUUUACUGAAUUUUGAAGCUAAUUGGAUUGGGGAUUUUCCAUUUGAUCCGGAAAAGUGAAAUUUAGGGAUAGAGUGUGAGGGAUCGAAUUGAAAGAUCAGAUUUUUAGGGAUGAUUUGAUUGGAAAAUUUGGUGAGCCUUUUGUAUCGUGGUAAGGAAGAACACACUUUAAAGACAAUCACAUGGGAUUUUGGCAAUCCAAGAGAGACCCUUUUGAGAAAAGUGGGAAGAAGAAGAGGAAGGGAUCAUGUUAGAAAUUAAAAAUCAAAUUAUUAUUUUAUAAUAAAAAUUAAUAAUAUUUUAAUAAAAUUGACUAUGGUAUUUAGUUUUAAAGGUGGAGAUGCAUUUGGUCUAUUACUGUUCAUUGUGAUUUAUCAUUUUUCACUGAAUGGAUUAAAUGAGCUAGAUGCUGGUUUUUUUUUUAAGGAGUGGAAUUGUUCUAAAAGAGCGAAAGAGGAGGCCUGGUCACAGUGCACAGCACGUAAUUGAAAAAAUAUCAUUAAAAUUGAAAAGAAAAACAAAAGAAGUAAAAACAAAAACAUAAGCAUUACGUUCGGAGGCGUAAACAUAGAGGGGCGGAGACUUUGAAAUUUAGAAGGUUUGCCAAAACUCUCUCUCUCUCCAUCUCACACACACAAGUUUCCAGAAAGUCGCAGAGAUUAGGGUUUUCUUUCUCCAACUCUCAAGACUCACUCUCUCUCUCUCUUCGCCGGUAAGAUCUCAGAACCCUAAUUUUCCCCCUUUUAUUUUCUCCGUCUUUGUUUCCAGAAAAAAUAUGCUUACUUUUUUAUUUCUGCAAAAACUUUCACUGCCCACCCGAAACUAAUAGAUAUAGAAAACCCUAGACCUUCGAAAGAUACGAAAAACCAAUGGAUGAAGGCGACGGGGUCGAUCAGAUGGAUCAGUUCCACCGCAACGAGGCGAUCUCGGCGGUGGCCGACGAUGGAUUUUUGGCCGAGGAGGACGAUGAUUAUGAGGACCUUUACAACGACGUCAAUGUCGGCGAGGGGUUUUAUCAGUCUAUGAGAAAGAACGAGGAUUUAGGGUUUAGGAAUGAGGUGGCGGAGGAGAAGAAGGUUGCGGUUGAGUCACCCGAUGUUGCGCCGUCGGAAUCUCAAGGUGGUCCGAUACCGGGUGUUGGGGGCGGUAACGGCGAGGGGACUGGUGGGGAUGGGGGUGAUGGAGGGGUUAGGGGUUCUGGGUAUAAUAAUCAGAAUCUUGGGUUUAGAGGGAACGAGAUGAGUGCGAAGGGGAGUGGUGGGUUGGGGCCCCUUGGGGGCAGCGGAGGAGGUGGGAUUAGGGUUGAAUUAGGGCAAACAUCAAAUAAGGUGAAUGAGUUUGAGCAACAAAGUGGGAAUAAUAGUGGUGUUGGGGUUCAAGGGAUUGUUUCUCAGCAGCUGCUGCCCCAAUUGCAACAACACCACCAACCACAACCUCCACCACAACAGCAACAAUUACAUGGUGCUGCUGCUGUUGGGAAUAUGGGGAAUGAGGGCAUGUUGAGACAAGCUGGUGGUGUUGGAAGUGGUAAUAUGAAUGGGAUUGGUGGGAAUAGUGGUCCGGGAGGAGGAUUUGGUGGUGCCGCUGGUGGUGGAGCUGGGACAAUAUUGUUUGUGGGUGAUUUGCAUUGGUGGACUACGGAUGCAGAGCUGGAGGCAGAGUUGUGUAAGUAUGGACCUGUGAAGGAAGUGAAGUUUUUCGAUGAGAAAGCAAGUGGGAAGUCAAAAGGGUACUGUCAGGUUGAGUUUUUUAAUCCUAAUUCUGCCACGGCCUGCAAGGAAGGGAUGCACGGGCAUGUGUUUAAUGGGCGGCCAUGCGUUGUUGCGUUUGCAUCACCAUUCAGUGUUAAGAGAAUGGGGGAGGCUCAAGUAAAUAGGAACCAGCAGGUUGCCCAAACUGCAGUACCUCAAACUGGUGGGAGGAGGGGGCCCAACGAAGCCGGGAAUAAAACUGGUGGGAGUAACAUUGCGACUGGCGGGAAUUAUCAAGGUGGGGAGAGUAAUAGAGGUUAUGGGAGAGGUAACUGGGGGAGAGGUAAUUCUCAGGGUAUGGGAAAUAGAGGACCAGUUGGUCCAAGGAAUAGGGGUGUGAUUGGAAGGGGUAUAAUGAGUAAUGGUGGAAAUGGGUUUGGGCAAGGUAUUGGUGCAACCCCUCCUAUGAUGCACCCUCAGUCAAUGAUGGGUCAGGGUUUUGAUCCUGCUUUUGGUGCUCCAAUGGGGAGAAUGGGAAAUUAUGGAGGCUUUCCUGGUGCUCCUACGCCUCCUUUCUCAGGAAUUUUGUCUUCAUUUCCACCUGGGGGUGUUGGGCUACCUGGAGUAGCCCCUCAUGUGAAUCCUGCAUUUUUUGGAAGAGGAAUGCCCAUGAAUGGAAUGGGAAUGAUGCCCACAUCAGGUGUUGAUGGGCCUAAUAUGGGGAUGUGGUCCGAUCCUAAUAUGGGUGGAUGGGCUGGUGAAGAGCAUGGUGGUGGCAGAGUUGGGGAGUCUAGUUAUGGUGAGGAAGCUGCUUCUGACCAUCAAUAUGGUGAGGCUAGUCAUGAUAGAGGAGGUGCAUGGCCAAAUGCCAUGAAGGAGAAAGAUAGAGGUUCAGAGAGGGACUGGUCUGGAUCUUCUGAUAGAAGGUAUCGGGAUGAUAGAGAUCAGGGAUAUGAGAGAGAUGUGCCUAGAGAGAAGGAGGUGGCUCAUGACCAUGACUUAUCUGAAAGAAGGUAUCGUGAUGAUGUUGAUGUUAGUCGAGAACGGGACAGAAAUCGUGAUAGGUGGUCCAGAAUUGAUUCACCAAUGGCAUCCUCUUCUCGUAGAUUUCUUUAUCUGCUUCUGUGUUAAUCUGUGAACUUCUGUGAUUUACCGUGAAUUUGGAUUCUUUUAUUGUUGUUGUACAUGAUCAUCUUCUUUUAUUCUGUCUAUAUCUCAUAUUUUGGUGCUUAUUUUAUUUGUUCUGGGAGGUUUUUAUGUCCUUGUUCUGAUUACUUCUUACUGUUGUUUAGUCAUGUUUGUUAAAUUCUUAGAUCUGUAGUUUACAUGAUUUUUAGUGCAAUUUUAUUUUUAUUGCUAUGUUUGUCAUUUGGGCUUAACAUGAUGCCUUAAGAUACUCUUACAAUUAAUAUCUAAAUGGUACAGCUCUACACCAAGCUCUCAACCUUUGAUUAUGUAUUGUUCCAUGAAUUUGUGCUUUUUCAAACCAUGGUAUUGUAUGACAUGGAAGUCUCUCAUUGUCGUUUAUCUGUUGACUUUGCUUUGUGGUCGAAUUGAACCCACAAUGACCACAUUUAAAAUUCUGCUUAUAUGGGUAUGAUACAGUUUGGUAUCUCCUUUGUUUGACUAUAAAUUAGGAUUGCAUUUAGACAUGAUUCCACUUGAUUAAUGGCUUUAUCUGGCUAGUGGACAGUACCCUAAAUGUAAAGGUAUCCAUGGUUUUUAUUUAGUUGUCUAAUAUAAUUAUAGUAUCAAUUGCGAUGGUAAUCACUGAUGACUUUGACCUAUCAAAUGACUUUCCAAAUUUGAAGGUUGCUUAGCAUUUUUGAACACACUGGUGAUCAAAAGUAAAAAUAAAACAAUCAAACAGAUAACUGUGACCUGGAAUCAUACUUGGACAGGGUUUGAUGGAUGAUGUUGUCAUAAUAUUUUUAGAUUAACUAGAGGUGUUAUCUAUGUUACCUGUGCUGUUCUAUAUUGCCUUUCCUUCAGCAGCCAUGUCACCAAUCCUGGUGAUUUGGAAAUCUGUCAUUUAUUGUCGGUGCAGUUUGUAGAUGAUUAGUAUGGCCAACCAAUCUAUAGGACCUAAUAGUUCCCUUGCUGUUGUGAUUGAGCUGCCUGGGGGGCAUCCUAGGAUUUUGAGGAUGUGGUUGCUUUUUGCUAAACUUAUUUAUGCGUUGGUUUUUACUGUAUACUACAUUCUCCAUACAAGCACUGGACCUUUUAUCACUUGAUUUUAGUGCUUUGUUGAUGGUAGAGUAUGUUAAGUUUACUGCUGGCUUGGUAAUUGUAGAUAUUUACUCUCACCUGUUUCACUGUCUAAUAGUUUGAAGGACACUCUACCGUGAGAAUUGAAGCUGUUAAGUAGAACUCAGAGUUUCCGUGGAGAUAAAGAAGGACCUCGAACAUCUACAAUGAAGAGACGAUGCACGGCGUUUCCCCGCCACUACCUGGACUUAGAAGCUGAACACUUUGCUUUUAGUUUUAGCUUUCGUUUUGCGUUUAUGUUUUUCAGUUAAUUAGCACUUGAUCGAAAGAGAUUUGUGGAUAUUGUUGUCGCUUGAAAUUGCCCAAGUCUAUGUGGGAGAUUAAUUUGUAACCUAAUAUUUGACUGUUGUAAUAGGACAUAGCAGACGAUGUUGCUAAUAUGCCUUGGUCCGGUUGUAUCUUUCCCAUUUUUUGUUUUGGGUUUGGGUGUAUACCUCCAAUGCUGUUGUUUGUGCCAAAUUUUGUGAAGAUGUAGAAAACUAACCCUUCAUUUGUAGUAAUUGUUUUUAGACCUUUUAGAAAUAGAAUUGUAUGGUCGGCGGCAUCGUGUACGUAACGAAAAGCUGGUGUAUGCUAUCUUGUACAUAGUGAAUUCAUUCAUUUUCAUACAUGCGUCUCCCCCGUCUUCAAAGUUUUUCUUAAUUUCUGUCUGCAUGGAAUUUGGUUCUACUCUUACCUUCCUCCUUUCUUGAAUAUGAACAUGAUAGUUUGUUCAAGUAUAGACCCCUGCUGGACGCGUAUCGUCCGAAAAUUAUGAGUGGGGUUAGUGAAAGGAGUGGGUAUUCCGCUCGUUUGGUGGAGAAUAACUCAUAUGGCAUGGGUUCACCACCAAGUGGCGUUCCGGGUCAGUGAAGUAAAUUCUUGUGGACAAAAGACAUCUCUACGUGUCUUCAUUUCAUUUGCACAAGACGUCAUUGUGGUGGUGAACUUGUGUUAUAUAAGUCCCCUAUUCGGUUGGAAGUUGGAAGAGGACAUGAAAUGUCCUCCGUUUGGUGGGUUUUCAAUCCUAACCACGUACAAAGGCCAGGGGAUUGAACCCAUGGAAGGAAGGGAGGGAGCAGAUGAGCUUCAACCCAAUUAGACCAAAGUGGGCAAUCAAGACUUGUAAGACUUGUAUCGUCAACCAAAUCAUCAAUUUUUUUUUCUUUUCUUUCGAACGCAAACAGAAAUUAGACAAGGUGGGUAACCCAGUCAUCAUAAUUUGGGAUACAAAUCAUAGAAUGUUUUUAUUUUUUUAUUUUUUAUAUACAAAUGAUAGGAUAAGUACGCUAAAUUCAUCCAUACUACAAGGAGGGAGAUUCGAACUUAGGUAAAAGGAAAAUUUUAUUUGGACCCAAAAUUUCUCUUUUCUAAACCCAAUUUAUAAUUUUUAUUACUUUGAAAUUUCUGUUUUAAGAAAAAGAAGAAAAUGAAAAAGAAACCCAGCCAAAGUUACCACCAACAUCCACCCCUACCUCUCCAAACCCAAAGACACCCAAUGUUGUUCGCCC